rnacentral:lncRNA from 1 species
UAGGGAUAAAGCUAGAGAAUUUAUUAGGGAGCAUAAUGUCUUUUUUGUUCACAACAUUGUAUCAUUGUAUUCAUUAUGAAAGAAUAGCAACGUGAUAUGUAUAGGAAGUCUUAUCGAAGGUGUAGUACUCACCAACGAGGUUAGCAUGGAUCGCGGGUUUUUGCAAUAGUAAAUAUCUUAAUCCUUUUUCUCCAACAAGCGGACAAUCUAAUAAGGAUUCACCAUAACAAUAAAAAAUGAAGACACUAACAAUCACCAACAAGACAAACACAAACUGAAAACAAACAAAAAGUUGAAAUUAAAAAAAAAAUCUAACAAACUUAAAUUCGAUUAACAACAUUCCUAUUGUGUUGGAAGUUUGGAGUCAAGAUGACAAAUGCAAAUUCAUUAAGUGUUUUAAGUUUGAACUAUGUCGUAUGAGUUAUUUUACUUAUUGUCGAGUCAGUGUCAGUUUAGUCCUUAGUUUGAAAGAGUAAGUGCUUAUUUAGAUAGCUGCAGUAGUUUAUCGUGGCAGCUAUAUCUCGGGAGUCAAUGGGUUAGAGCUGUUAGUGGGAGCCGCGAUUACUGGCUUGAGAGUUGUUCUUAUGGUUUCUAACGUUACAAUGAAUCAAAUCGUCAGUUUGCCCUUCCUUUAAGCUUUACAAUUUGAACAGUUAAGGAAGACUACGAUUUUAGUCGUUCCAACUUACAGGUUCAGAAAAUCAGACUGGUCGCUCCUAACUAAUCAGCUGGUGAUGAAGGGUUUAUGUCAUGGUCGUGCUUCUUGGAAAGGGGUAGGGAUGUAACAACGACUGUGAUAAGCGGCAUAGCAGUAGCAUCGAUGAUGACAUUGACAGUGAUGGAGACGUUGGUGAUGAUGGCAACGUUGGCGGCUAUGGAUUGUGGUGUGGGGUGGGGAUAGGUUGCCGCCAUGAUAUUGGUGGUGAAGUUGGUGGUGAUGAAGGUUGUCUUGUUGAUGUUGGAAGCGAAAGAGUGUAGGACGGCCACGGUGGGUGUGGUGAAUACGGGUGGCGGUUAGGGUUUUGGAGAGGGAGAAUGGUUCUCUCCUACAAAAGGUAACAAUGCAAUUAUUCUUUUACGAGUGGUAAUAAGAUAAUUAUUCUUCUACGAGAGGCAAUAAAGAUCCAAGUUGAAAUCGAAAAACAAAAAAAAUCGAAUAAGUAAAAUCAGCUACGGGGAGGAGUGAGGAUAAUGUUAAUCAGAAGCAGAGUGGUGCUAAUACCGUACGUACGUGCUGCUAAGAUAUUGAUAUCGAAAGAUCAAACCGACACUAAAUAAGAUUCGAGCACACCAUGUUUGAAUAGUUAAUGAGAAGUGUCAAUUAAUAAGGAGUUGGUCCAUAAAAUGUAUGGUCUAGUCUAAAGCAACCGAUAAGACAGUUGAUGAUCCCUCAAAUAACAAUCAACCAACCAACCUAAUGCUUCCACACGUACGUGUUCCACUGCUUUAUCGUCAAUCAUCAACAAUCUCACUAAAUAAUUCUACUUAACGGCGUUCGAAAAUUCUUCAAAUACAUUAUUUUCCGGCGAGGAAAAUUUGGUUUACUGGAAUUCGAUGCAUUUUGGUUUGUUUCGGCAAAAAUCACUAAGCAUAGUUUAAACCUCUUUAAACACUGUUUACAUUGUUUGAAAACCAUCGACACCAUGAUCGUAGCUAUGUCCAUGAAGUGAGAGGUAACUCUCAUGGCAGUUGCUUGUUGGAAAUAUGCCCUUUGGGUUUGACCUUGGUAUAAUGGCAGCACCAUGGACUUGACCUUAGUGUGAUGCCAGAGUUGAGAUGGAUACGUGAGCUCACGGGAAACCUCAUUUUAUCUUGGAACAAGCUGAAACUAGCUGGCAUCAGUUCCUCUAUGAGCUAGAUGAUGCUAGAGACUGACAGUGAACCUCAUCCAGCUCAUCCAGCUCAACCUUGAGCUGGAUGAUAGUGUCACUAGCUGCGAUGCUGAGCUGAGCUACAAUGAUGGUAGGGAGCUAUAUGGUUGCGGUGGUUACUCCUUGUCCCAGGACGAAUGGGUACACACCUCUUCAUAAAUUUCAAACUCAUUUCUGAGUUUUUUUUCCUCCAACCUUGUAGGACUUCAAGUUAGUUACCUUCAAGUCUAUCCAUGAGGAUAAUAGCACCUCUUGGUACAUGGACUCUUGCCCCUUCAGUUCUGGACCCCUUUGCCUAUAUAAAGAAGGUUGUAGUGUGGGAUAACACACACAGAAAAACCAUCUAUCCUAGUCUAUAAUUCUAUGUGACUCUAGUAUCUAAAACCUAAGAAUUUGAGUGGAGACGGUAUUAUCCUCGGAAGGGAUUUCCUGAUACCCAAGGCUUGUAGGGUGGAAAUACUCUUUUCGGAAAGUGGUACCCAUGAUUCUAUCCUGAUCCUAGAUCUCAUCACCUAUCAAAACUCGAAAUAUUGCUACUUGGAACCUCCUAAGCUAACAUUGCUUUCAAUGACAGUAACCACCCAUUCCGGGCUAUAAAUACAAAAAGCCACCAACAGAGAAAUCAACAGACGAAAUUUCACCAAGCAGACACUUUGCCCAAAUUUAUCUUCCCAUAGACGUAGAUGUAGUUUUUAAUUCGGAGCUCUCUUAAAACCUCCAUAGAAUUAGCAGUAUAUAGCGUAGCGAUCGUAGACAUCAGAUACCCUCAUUCGAACUUUUUUUGAAAAGGUAUGGACCAUGUAAGUAAUCCAUUGUGAAGAAAUCAAGAGCGCAUUUGUUAGUUUAAACAUAAAAAUUGUCCAUCCGAAAACACAUAGGAUAGUUGGUACAUGAAAGUCAAUCUUCAGGUUGAUUGAGUAGUGGUCGUCGCCUAAUCAUAUAAGGAUGAUAUUGGCCAUCUUCGACACUUAGCAAAUAAUUUGAAGUCUCUUCUUCAUCGAGAUUGGGAUGUCUAAAUACUCACUCACAUUUUUAAAAAAGAUAAUUAAAUUGCUGAUUUCCUUUUUAUCUUGAGCAUUCUCUUGUUCUAGAUUAAUAAUAUUGGAUGCGGCUCUCUAUAAAAAAAACCCUCAUAUACUCUUCCUUCAAACAAAUUCUACUCAUAAUUAUUCAUUACUUAUUUACUUGCAGAUAAACACAACCCUUGAUCGCUGAGUUAAACUGAAAGAGCACCACUCCAUUCCCAAAGACAUUGAUGGUUAUCCAAUCAAUUUUGGUUUGACUCAUUAAUUUCAGGGUUCGCCUUAAUUUUAUUCAAUAAAUAAAUUCUAACCGUCAGAUGUAAUUCCAUAAAUAAAUAUCGAUAACCCGUUCAAAAAUAUAUCUUUCUCCAGAAAAUUCUUCCUUAUUACUGUACAACAAACUCUUACUAAAACAUACACUUUUUACUGAGGUUUCAUACAAGAAUCUAGCCCGAGAUGGAAAGAUAAAAAGCACUCUUAAUUUUAUUUAAUUAGGUCAAAUAGCCUUGAAUCAGAGCCGAUUUAAUUAGCUUACCUUGCAUAGCAAGACACAUAAUGUACAUUCAUGGAGUUUUCACAAACGGUGAAGAAAAUUAAAACGCAGAAUUAUUAUUAAUUUAUUAUCUGCUGUAACUUGAAAAGAUAAGUGUUAAAGCCAAAGGGAGAGAUUUUCUGCACCCUAUUAAAAACAAGGGAAAGUAAUUUAAUGAUAAUACACACGUACACAGUUAAUUUUUAAUUCACUGUCACUUCCCAACACAAACACAACUUCCUAAAAUAUUACUUUCGUAUUCCCACCCACGCCUAUAUAUAAACACAGCCCAUUAGUAAAUUGACAUACAAACAAUCGAGCUAACAAAGAAAGAAAGCAAAAAAGAUAUCAAAAUGGCUCGUUUGAUCUCCAUACUCUGUCUCGUUUCCCUUGUCAUCGCCGUUUCUGAAGCAAGGGAGAUCGUCGUCGGAGGUAGAGAGAGCAAGACCUUCUGGAGAGUUCCCGGCGGUAAUCUUACAAAUCUCGACUAUUGGGCUGAACAACUCAGGUUCUCUCCCGGAGAUGUUCUUGGUACAUUGCUCAUCAUACUACUCUCGUUUUCAUCACUUCAUUUCAUAUCAUUUUUUUAUUCUACUUGAAUUCCAUGCUACCAUUGAUUUUUGUGACUAUUGUUUCAUUCUUGAGGCAUAUUCCCGUACAGGUAGGUGGCAAUUAACAGAAUUACAAGUUUUUGACGAGUUUGUAAAGUUUACAUUGAUUUUGAGGUCUAAAUCGUAAAUUGCCUAAAAUUGUAAUACAAUCCUUUUGAUGAUUGAAUAAAUAGUAUGGUAUUUGGAGGCAAAAGAGGGAUCAGUGCUUCAAGUGAGCAAAGAAGCGUAUGAAAGCUGCGACAAGACGAAUCCGAUCAAAGAACUGAAAGACGGCGUUGAAAAGGUGAGUUUGGAACGGUCGGGACCUUUUUACUUCAUCAGUGGGAAGGAACCUGACUGCAAGAAAGGGAUGAAGCUUGAAGUGGUCGUUCUAGCAGAUCAUCAUCAGCAGCAGCAGCGUCACUUACCUCCCUCUCCUGCUCCCUCGCCGUAUUCUUCGAGUGCGUCGAAGGUCCUGAACUACCGAUGUGCCACUGUUGUUGUAGCUGCUGCUGCUGCAAUGUUGAUUUGAUGAUCUUUUGUGGUUUGGACUUUGGAGAUUGAGCCUUCAUGUCAUUUUAUGUUUUUGAUUGUUAGUGUCUACGGCCUUUUGGAUUUAAAUUUAGUCUUGCUAUUUCAUUCUGGUUUGAUAGUUUUGCAAUUAAUUUUGAAUUGGUAUUGCAGUUAUUCUGCAAUCUUGUGCCCACUAAACUGCAGGCCAUGGAAAGCAUGUGAAUGAGAACUCGUCAUUGUAUGAUCAAGCUUGGUCCUUAAAAUGUGUUGACACCUCAUCCUCCACCGUGUGAUGGACUCUAACGAACGGCUCAAAUGCGCAGAAGCCCAUUCACGCGGAUCCCAAUCUCCGACCGUUCGUUUGAGUGCAAUCCAACGAUUCAAAUUGUCCCUUUAGCAUUUCUGCGGAUCCUAAUAAAGAAACAAUAGAUAAAUAAGAAUCACGUGGAUCGCCAUUCUAUUUCGUCGAUUCAAUGUUAAUCAACGGUCCAGAUCAUUACCCCUUCCACUUCAGAACUGUCCUAUAAAUUUUGCAGCCUUUGGGCUCCGACAUUCACCAAUUCAAUUCAAAUCUUCCAUCCGAAGCUCUCGUCAAUUUCUUAUAUCUUCUCUUAAAAAUGUCAGGCAGAGGCAAGGGAGGCAAAGGAUUGGGAAAGGGAGGAGCAAAGAGGCACAGGAAGGUCCUUCGCGAUAACAUUCAGGGCAUCACUAAGCCGGCCAUACGACGUCUAGCUCGCCGUGGCGGUGUGAAGCGUAUUAGCGGCCUCAUCUACGAGGAAACCAGAGGUGUUCUCAAGAUCUUUUUGGAGAACGUGAUCCGUGACGCCGUCACCUACACCGAGCACGCUCGCCGGAAGACCGUCACAGCUAUGGACGUCGUCUAUGCUCUCAAGAGGCAAGGCAGGACACUGUAUGGUUUCGGUGGUUAGAUUAGGGUUUCUUUUUUCUUGUAACUUUUUGUUGCAUUGUGAUGUUCGAGAAAAUCUGACCUACUGGAACCUCCAAUUGGGGAUAGAGAGAGAUGGAUUUGGGGUUUCGGUAGGAUGAUUGUGAGUUUUCCCUUUGGAGCUGUGUUUAAUAUCAAUCAAUUGGAAUUACAGAAACCUAUGGAUUGUCAGCUCAAACCUUGCCUUGUUUUUGUUGUUCUUAUUGCAGUGAGGUUGGCCGUAUUAGAGUUAAAAUUUUCUUGUUCUUUGGGCGACCAACGAUGGGAGAGAACCCUAAGGGUUAGAAACAUAGAAAAGCUUACAAGAAAAGAAAUACGUCCCUUGUUAAACUACCAAAAACAAAAACAGCUUACAUGAUUAACUGUUACCUAUUCGCCCCACUUAGCUUUCGAGAAGCGAGCAAGUUCGUAAAUUAUUCCUUUCUAUUCCUCCUAAUCCAAGAUACCUUCUUAGAAACUAAGAAGGCAUACUACAAAAGAUCUGUCUGACAGUCAGCAAUCGUGACACCAAAUUCAGAGAUGUCUAGGUGAAGCCCCGCUAUGGCAACGGAUUGAAGAAUGCGGUGAUCACUUUUUAUUCUGGAGAUUAUCUUUGGAGUAUGCAGUGAUCAAUUUUUCUUCGGGGUACCUUUUUAGGUGAGGUUUUCAGAGCAGAAAUUGAACUCAAUUUCAGAUGCUGGUCUAAUUCCAACUAAUUUCGGCUCGCCAAGUUUAAUUCAAACCAAUUUCAAUGCCAGUUCAGGCGAAAAUUAAACCAAAAAACGCAGAAAAUGACACCUACCACCUUGAUAUUAAAUUCUGGUUCCCUAACAUAAAAGAUGGUGUUUAGGAACUGGAGUUUAAGAUUCAGAGACUAAAAAGAAGACUUGGAUAGCACUACCGUCCAUGACAAAAAUGUGGAUUUAUGGUAAUGUUAAACUGUUCUAAGUGCCUGCGUACGUGCUAUCCAACAUUAGAAUCAAAAGCUUCAACGGCACAAGAGAGAAAAAAACCCACAGUAGAGGUGCGGCACUACAAAGCCACAAGAUGUCCAUUACGAAUGUGAAAUGGCAUCCCAAUCAUCUACGUGACAUCUUCAUCUUGGGCAUUGCUCUUUUGGUCUGACGAGCACGAUCUUUCUCUUGUUUUCUGCGGAUGGCCUCUGCGCUUAGUUUCGAUUCAGCUUCCUCCUUCCUCUCCGCCUUCUUUCUCAACAACGCUUCCUGUCUUGCAUUCUGAAGUUCUUUGAAUGCUUCUUGUGCAGCUUUGUUUCUCGCUGCCUCCGUUUUAGACCGUGCCUGCAUUACCCCCACAUUCAGGAACCAACAAUAUUAACACACACGCGUAUCCAUAGUCAUAGCGCAACCUUGUGAAUUGACGGAUAGCUUACCUGCGGACUCAACUUGUAUCGGCCAAUCAGAUCGAUGUAGUAAGGUACCAAAGCCACCAAUCUGGUCAUAUCCGCCAUAUUGCUAGCAUCGGGCAGAGCAAACUUGAACAACAGCAUUUUCUUGUGUGCACCAGGGUGUUGGUCUGAGAAAUGCAUCGAGAUGAAACCCUUUCCAAACUUUCCAAAAGCUUUUUCUCCGAAUACCUGCAAAUUGAAAAUUCAAUCAGAAAACCAAUCAACAUGGUUGUACUAUCGAAACCACCAAAAAUAAAUUUCUAAUGCCGUACAGUCUAUCACCUAGCUGUUAGAUGAUCUAGACGUAGGACACAUUAUAUCUGUUGUUAAUUCAAGAUGCUAGGAUUCAAGGGAUUUUCUUUUACUUGAACAAUGUUCAAUGUAUUUCCUAGAUCAUCUAACGCAGACAGAUCCAAAGAUCUGCAGAGAGGAUUCAGUUCCCCUCAAUCAGGAAGUAGCAUAUACCUUCCAGGAUGCAUUUAUACCUUUCCUUCGUUUCUUUUGAGUUUCAAAUACUAAUAUUUUACAUACUUUUGAACUCCUUAACAAGCUAACCAAUACUCGUAAAACUGAUGAAUCCACAAGAAAACCAAAAGAGAAACACUAUAAUUUUGACAGCCAUUCAAUUAGAAAGCAGAAAGAAGGGGCUGCGAAAAUAUCUAUGAUUUCUAUGAACUAUGAUGUGAUGAAGGGACAUAUCGCGAAAAAGAAAGCCAAAUUGAAUGAGUCCUAAAACAACUUCAUCCAUGUUACUAUGUUAGGAACAUCAAUUUGAUUGGAAUUGACUUUCCACUUACAAACAAAACCCAGGGGCAAAGAUGGGUUGGUGUGGAAGGCGAAUUAAGAAAGAAAGCAGUAGCGAUUUACUAAAUUAGUAUCUAUGAAAAACAAUACCACAUAUAUACCACCACUAGGCAUGGAACUACAUAGUACAUAGCGCACCAGCAAGUGAGCAGGAGUUGAAUCCACUACCAUGAAUCCUACAGGAAAAGAAGUUCACCACUACAUAACUAAACUUACACCCUCAUAUACCAGACAAAAAAUGGAGCAAGAAUGAUGCACAUUAGGUCAUACAUGACCACCAACUAUAUCUGGAUAAAGCCAAAUCCUAAUAUACUGUACCUAAUCAAGGAAACCAGAAGAAGCACGACAGUAAGUUAAGUAUAUAAGCCAACCUGUUCAAGGACAGCAUCAGUGAUCAAGUCCCCAGCAACCUCCUUAGAUUCAGAAACAACUCCGAGAUCCUCAAUGACCCAUUUCUUCACAUGGGCCUGAUGGGGCAGAAGGCCAGCAAACCUCUGCAAAUCCCUAACCUCCUUCUGCAUAGCUUUGGCAGCUUUCUUCUUGGCCAUUGCGAAAAUCACUUGGUCCAUGGCAUUGUCAUUCAUAUAAACUUGGAAAGUGAUCUCAUCCUUACAGGGAACCACCAUAUUGUACACCUUGGCAAUCAAAUCUCUCGCUUCCCGGUGAAGUAGUUAAUAACGAACAUAAUCAAGAACGAGACGCACACAAUCUCCACGGUGAAUGAUUGCUUCCUCUUGGGAAGACCCUCGCCAGCCUCCUUCGAAUUCGGAUCUGAUGUUUUACUUCCUUCAGCAGUUGAGGGAGUGACUGGAGUAUUAUCAACAUCUGGUUUUUCAGGCUGAGUUGGGAGACCUUCGAACUCGUCUUCGUCCCAGUAAUCCAAGCUGGAAGUUUUAGUAGAUGGAGAAUCGGGUUUGGAUUUGGAAACAUCAGAUUCAGUAGAAGCAGGUUUGGAAUUGGGGUGAUCGGAAGCUGAGGAAGGAUUGGGAUCUGAGGUGGAUAGGGAUUCGGUCUGGGUCAAAGGGAGAUCGUUGAGCUCGAAAGAGGAAGGAUCGAGAGGCUCCUCGAUGGCAUCGUCAUCAUCGGCGUCGAAGCCUUCAAAUUGGGAAUCGGCGACAGCGGGGGAGGGAGAUUGAAGGAGGAGGAGGAAGGAGACGAGGGAUAGCAGGGAGAGGAAAGCGAGGAGGGAGAUAGGUCUGACCAUGGCGGUGGAUCAGAUCGAGUCGGGAGGAAGAGAGAAGCAAUUGGAGAAGUAGUGUUGUAGAGAGAGGAAAACAGUGUUGUUAAGUUGGGAUGAAAGACGGAAUCCUAGCUGGCUUUGCCUAGUAGUGGUAGUGGUAGUGGUAGUGGUAGCAGAGAGAGAUAAAUCUGGCCAAUUUCGAAUUUGAAGUGAGAGAAAUUAUUUUUGGAUCGAAUCUGACGGUUGAAACCAAAUCUUAAUAUCGAUUUUGCUUCGGCCUCCGUAUCCUAUUGGGCUUAGACAUAGGCCGAAUCUCACUUUGGAACUGCUACGCUGCCUCGGAACCAGAGCAAAACCACGAACCUUAUCCUCCAGAAGAAAACAAGUCCCCUUCGUCAUUUCUAUCCUCGCCGAAGAAAUUGCAAACGGCAUCGACGAGCGCGAUGGCAGCUCAGCUGGCCACCGUCAACGGACUCUGCGUUGGGAGAACUUACCCUGCUUCAUCCAUGCCUGCAGGUACCUUCCUUUUUAGGUUCAUUUCUCAUUUCGAUUUCAAUUUUUUUUGUUUCUCUUAUGCUGAGGGAACGCGAUACAUUUCUGCUAACUGGGUUUUGGAGACGGAUUCUGGGAUCUCUAAAGGGAUUGAACUGAAUGAGGAUUUAGUUCGAGGAACAUCCUGAUUGCGAUCAGAAGGGAGCUAGGAUUUAUAGAAAGGCUAGUGUAGUUAUUUGAUGAAAUGCCAUCGAAACUAAUUGAUUUAUGUGAGUAGAUAAUCAUAAUGUGAGGGAAAAUACCCAUCAGCAAUGGAAAUUUAUUGGGCUGUUUUGUUUCAGGGAAACUAAAUGCAACUUCAGUUGGUAAUUUGACUGUAUUCUGGCCGAGCAAACAACGUCAGCGUCAAUCACUCCGGGUCAUUGGUCUAUUUGGUGGGAAGAAAGAUGGCGAUGAUGCAUCUUCAAAGGUCGGACUUGUUAAUGCUUCUUCUCUUGUUGAUCAUUGUAUGAAGCCUUUGUAUAUAAGCUAUUUUCUUGGAUCUUCAAUCUGUUUCAUUUCUUCCACAAGUCACGGUUUUGAAUUAUAUUGAAAAUGUGAGAUCCCACCGGAUAGUAUGGUGUAUGCCCCUGAGUAGGAGGAGAAACAAACAGUUAACCACUGGAUUUGUGUUAUCCUUCUAACAAUAACAACUAUAUCUUGAACCACUGGAUUUGAGUGGUUUAGUAUCUUGAAGGAGCAAUCUGGGUUCAGAUACUGUGGUUAAGUCACUCAAAUCCAGUUUUUUUUUAUAGUUCUAGGUUGGUAUGGGGUGGUUUUAAGCCAUGUAUUUAAGAAUUCAUGUAUUUGAUUGAAUAAUUUGUUUGGUAUGCAAAAAAACUGAAUCAAAUACAUACUACCUGGGGUUCUGAAAUCUUUAAGAAUCAUUUGUUUUACACUUAUGAUAUCCCACUUGAACAUGCAUACCAAACAAAUGAUUUGUUAAAAUACUUGUUGUCAAUUCCUUGCAUUUAUAAAUACAUGUUAUUUAACCGAAUACAUGGUUUUAAGAAUCCCUCCACCAACCAUUUUUUGAUAUGUUUCUCGGAAUAAUGUUCUCUACUGUUUUGUAACUCAUUCUCUUUUAUUUUCGGUAUUAAACUCCAGUUGACUUCUUUACAGCAUAAUAAACGGAAACUGCCUGUUUUCUUUACCACUACAUCAAGGAAGUUGCGGCAGCAACGUGCAUUCACUGUGACGAAUGAGUACUCUCAAAAUGCCGAUUUUCCGAGAACCUAUGGGAAAAAGGAGAAGAAGCCAUUUCCAAUACCAGUAGUGGAGUUGAGGAGAGCUGCCAGGGAGAGACUCAAGAACAAGAACAAGAACGACAAGCCGAAAGGACGACCCCCACCUCCAAAGCAAGGGUUGGUCGUACAAAGUCUCAUCCCUCUUGCUUACGAAGUUUACAAUGCGAGGAUCACGCUCAUUAACAAUAUCAAAAGAUUGUUGAAAGUGGUACCCGUCCACGCUUGCGGGUAAAGUUUCCUCCUUUCUCCGAAAACUGUUAUUAUUGCUUGUUGUUGAAUAGGAUGCCUGGUGGAAAUUCUCAUAACGGUUUUCUUGCUAGGUGGUGUGAUGAAAUUCAUGUUGGGCCAGAGGGACAUCCAUUCAGGACGUGCAGAGGCAAGUAUACGAGUGUCCGGAAGGGUCUUCAUGAGUGGACCAGUGCCGUUGUCGAGGACAUAAUUGUGCAGGUAGAAUCCUACCAUCUGUAUGAUCGUCUUGGCAAUCGAAUACGUCACGAUCAAAGAUUCUCGAUUCCCAGAAUCCCGGCAGUGGUGGAGCUCUGUAUCCAAGCUGGUGUAGACCUUCCCGAAUUCCCUACAAAAAGGAGAAGAAAGCCGGUCAUUUGGAUUGGGAGAAAGGAAUUCGUCGAUGCAGACGAAAGCGAACUUCCUGAUCCAGUCCCCGAACCUCCUCUGAAGCCACUGUUGACAGAGAUACCGGACUCAGAAGUCGUUGCCCCAUCUAGUCAAGAAGAAACAACCUUGCUUUCCGAAGAGACCUUAGCGGCUUGGGAGAAAAUGACGAAAGGUUGUAACAGACUUAGGAAAAUGUAUACUGUUAGAGUCUGUGGGUACUGCCCGGAGGUCCAUGUCGGACCAAAUGGGCACAAGGUGCAAAUCUGUGGAGCACACAAGCACCAGCAACGAAACGGGCAGCAUGGUUGGCAGGCUGCGGUGCUGAACGACCUAAUACCACCAAGAUUCGUGUGGCAUCUCCCUGACGGGAGUGGGCAGCAAUUGAAACGUGAACUGAAAAGCUUCUAUGGUAAGGCUCCUGCUGUUGUGGAGCUGUGCAUCCAAGGUGGGGCUCAAGUGCCUGAAGAGUACAAAACAACAAUGAGGUUGGACAUUGGGAUUCCUACUAACGGUAAAGAAGCUGAAAUGGUUGUUUGAGGAUCACUGUACAAAAUAGGUGAGACUUGGAGUCGCUUUGCUUAUGGUUGGUGGAUUUCAUCCAGCAUGGACUGCAGACCUAAGAUCACAUCAGAACUAAACUACAGGCCAUGAAAAGCAUGUGAAUGAGAACUCGUCAUUGUAUGAUCAAGCUGGGUCCUUAAAAUGUGUUGACACCUCAUCAGUCAUAACCAUUGACAUCAAGUGUCUCUAUAAAUGAUAGAUUGGGACGCUGUAAAUCGAAUCCACCUCCAGGCUCCAACUGCUUCCCAACUGAAGAACAUUGCCCUUCAAAAUUAACCGUUACUCCAGUUUUUUUUAACAUAAAGUUUGAGGGCGUGGAGAAUCUGCCACCUGCUAACACACUUGCAAUCUAUGUUUCCAAACAUCAGAGCUUCCUGGACAUAUAUACUCUUCUAACUAUGUGUAGCAUCUUUUAAGUUCAUGAGCAACGUUAGUAAAGAGGGGGCUUCAGUCUUCUUCUUUCAUGGAAGAUGGGAAUUUAGCCACUUAACUAGUUUGGUUUGGCAGGUAGAAUGCGGGAUGGAAUUCAGAGUAUUUUCCUAUUCAAAUGGGAAAUUUAAAUCUCAACGAAAUGCAUUUUGAGAACUAAUUCUCCCAUUUUCAUCCAAAUUCCAUUCCACAUUGCCAAAUCAAAGUUCAGAUACCUGCAAUUCCUCAUGAACAUUUAGUUCACUUAUUCCAACAACUUGGUAGACAACAUUUCCUUAAAAUAAACUUGUCUUUACCAUUGUUGUUCCUACCAUAACACCUGUUUCAGUCUUGCUUUCCAUCUGUUUCACUAAACUUAAACUACCCUCCACUUCAUCAUCACCUUAUUUCCUCUCUUGUUUACCAGUAACAAACCUAUACCUUGUCAACUUCCUCCCCUCUCUUUCACCUUAUCUCCUACAUUUUUAACCCUUUCCCCUUCUUCCCCAGAACAAAACACACAGUAGCUAGUUAAAGAAUAAGAAUGCCAACUUCCAUUGGCAUUCUGCUCCUUGUCACAGUAAUAAUAACUUCAAACUCUAAGUGCGUUGACUCAUAUCGAAUAACCCUGAAACUUAUCCACCACAACUCAAUCUUCUCCCCCACGGCAGUACUGAACAAAUCAUCCAUACAACAAUUGGUAGAAGCUUCUUCUUCUACAGAAAAGGAACAUAUAGGAGCAAACCUUAUCCCAGGUAGCCAUUCAAUCUACUACGUCAAUUUCUCAAUUGGGCAGCCGCCGGUGCCUCAGCUGGCGGUAAUGGACACAGGGAGUAGCUUGCUGUGGGUCAAAUGCCUUCCUUGCUACCCAUGUUCACCCACUUCCAACACCCGCUUCUUCGAUCCCUCUAUGUCCUCCACUUUCCAACCCAAGGUGAGUGUCUGUCUAUAUGUUUCGAAAUUGUGAACAGUUUAUAAAAAGGAAUUGAUGUACUACUAUAUUGUACAUCACUCCUAUCCACGAUAGUUAAACUUUUGGUUUCUCUACUUCCCUAGUCAACGUUUCGUCCGAAAUCUUUAAAAUUUUGAAAUUUAUUGACAGAGUUGGACAAAAAAUUGUAACUGAAGGUUGGUUAGUACAUUGGCUAUAACAGAUGGAGAGAAUGGACGAUUUAAUAGUAAUGUGGGAGAAUGAUAUUUUGGUAAAGUACAAGGAGCAAUAGCAUUUUUCCUUUAUAAAAAUUAAAGAUGUUUCAAAUACAAUAUUGAGGAAAAAGUUAUUGCAAAAGGAUGAUUUUGUUGAGUUUGAGACUAUAUUUUUGGAGAUAAUAGUAUAUCUCGAUCAAUACAAUAUAAAAAGAUAAAAAAAAUAUUAUAAUAAUGUUUAUUUAUAAGAUGUGUUUGAUUUGAAAUCAUAAUAUUCGAAUCGUCAUGCACAUAACUUUGAGCCCUCCAUUUGGAACAAUUUUCUUUGUUUAUAAAAAGAACAAUAGUACAUUAGAACAUCUCUAAUAAUAAGUGCUAAAGUGUAAAAUUAAAAUGCCAAAUUUGGCUUUUAAAGUUUUAAAAUAUCAUCAAAAUUGAUCAUCAUGUUUAACAAAUAUGAAUUUUGAUAUAAAAAUUAUCAAAAUUAGAAUUAAAAUAAAAAAUUAUAAUAAUGAAACAAAAAAGAAUUACAGAUUCCAAAAGACAUCCUCUCUAUAAAUACAAAUACUAAAUCAAUGAAUUAAACUUGAUACUUUAACACUUUGACUAACCAAAUUUAGCAUCUUGCACUAACCAUUAACCAUACCCAUUGUAGAUGGUUUUAUAGGCAUAAGCAAAAGUUCCAACUUUUAUAAGUAGUGAAAUUGUUAACUUAUUUUUCACUUUGAAGGCGUGUGACCCCACCUGCCGGAGCUGCAAUCCGACCACGAACCAAUGCGAGUACAACAUACAAUACGUCGGCGCGCCUUCAUCUGAAGGAAUCAUAGCCAAAGAACAGCUGACAUUCCCCACGUGGGACAAUGGAUACAGUACCGUGCCGGAUGUACAAUUCGGGUGCUGUCGGAAAACUGAAGAUCUACCGAGGGAGUCUCACAUGACCGGAGUAAUGGGUCUCGGAGCAGAACCCGAUUCGCUGGUUUGGCGGGUCGGCAAGCCGAGAUUUUCGUAUUGCAUAGGGGACGUCUUCGACCCGUUUUACGAUUUCAAUCGGUUGGAAAUCGGAGAAGGGGCGGUGAUGGAAGGUGUUUGGACGCCGUUAACGAUCGAGAAAGGCCUGUACUAUGUAACCGUGGAACGAAUUAGCCUUGGUGGGUCCACUCUGGAUAUACCCGAUUCCGCUUUCAAGAAAACCCCCGGCGUGGACGACGGGGUCAUGAUCGACACCGGAGCACAGGUGACUGUUUAUUUUCAUAAUUAUGAUUGUUUCAUUCAAGUACGAUUUCACUAAGUAAUUUAUGAAAACGGGCUGUGAAUCCCAUGCUUACUAAAAGUGCUUACCUGAUUUUGUUUCCAUAGAACAUUUAAAAUUGAGGAUUGUUUUGACUAUAGGUACGAUUUAAGAUAGUAAGAGAUUUGAAUAGGUUCGUAGGCUAUUAAAUAAAUUAACGUGUUAUUUAUAUGAAUGAUUGGAAAUAGAUAAAGAUUUUGAAAUAGAGUAUUUAAGUAAGUGAUUUAUAGGUCAUUUUAAGUAUAAUUAUUAUAAAUAGAGAAAAAUAAAUAAAAAAGUACUAAAAUAUUUGAGGUUAUCAUGACCUUAUUAACUAAAAAAAGAAAAGAAAUUAAUGAUUAUUUGGGUUAAAUUUUUUUAUUUUUUUCUCCUUCAAAAUUUCUACUACUCACGGUACUUGAAAUUAUUUAUAAAAAGUUUUCUAAACCCACAAGAUAAUUUUAUCUCUUUCGAUUUAAAUGUCUAAAUAAGUAAUUUGAAAUUAAAUUUUUGUUGAGAUCCGUAGUUUACUAGUGUUUUGUAAGAAAUUUAAACCUUUUUUAGACAAUCAUCACUCAAUUUUAUUAAUGUUGGUUAUCAAACCAGAUAUUUUAUAGGAUUAUCGUCCACUCCAUUCACACCAUAGAAGGUAAAUGAAUAAAAAAAUUAAUGUGCACAACCUAAUUUCUACUUCGUCGAAUGACUUACACCUCAAAAUUAGAGUAAACAAAACUGGAGUUAAUACAAUAAUAACAAGAUGAAGACUUAGCUUUAACGAAAAUAACACAUUUUUAAUGAAUCACAUCAUUGAUGAAGAAAACGUGUUCAUUGAACAAAACUAGUUAUGUUUGCAACAGUACACAUACCUGAAGAAAGAAGCAUUCGAAGUGGUGGAAUAUGCAGUCCGUGACCAGCUGAGGGGCACGAAAUGGAAGCGAGUGUGGAUACAACAAGCAAAUGGAAGGAUUUGCUUCGGUGGGAGAGUCGCUGAAGUCGCUCAAAGUUUCCCGCUUCUGGGUAUCCAUUUCGAGGGCGGGGCGGACCUGUACCUCGACGGAUUCGGAACCUUCGUGCAACUUAACUGGGACACCUUCUGCUUGGCAUUCCUUGAAACUUCUGAGGGUGAAGACUCUAGUUGCAUAGGUAUCUUGGCUCAGCAGAACUACAACGUUGGCUUUGAUCUUGUUGAUAAGAGAGUCUAUUUCCAGAGGAUUGCUUGUGAGGAUCUUCAUCUAUAAAGCUUGAUGAAUCGUGCUUGGAAAGUUAAAUGUUACACGUAAAAUUUACAUUAAAGGUAAUUGUAUUGUGAAUCUCUUCGCUCAUCAUAGAGGCAUUUAUUUUUUUUGAAAUUCAUUUGAUUUCUUCUUUAAAUGUGACAUUAUUAAUUAUAUUCAUGACAACAUAACCUUAAAAUUACCUUAAACUCGGGUUAUAAAAUUGACAACAUAGCCUUAAUAUUUGUAGCCACGAUUUAAUAUAAAAGAAAAUAUUUAGAUGCUCACAAUUAUAAAUUAUAAAGUUAGAUGAAUAAUAUAGUUUGUUUUGCACCACGCAGUAUAGAUUUCAAAUACAUUUAUUUCUGUCGUCAAAACGUUACGAUUUUUUAAAAUUGGGGAGCUGAGCUGUGUCGCGCCACCUAGGUUGAAGCAUGAAGGAAGGUUGGGCUGGCAGUGAUCCUUAGCUAGUUCCACGAUGGUGUCCCAAGUCAAUUGAAGUCUCAAAUAAAAUAUUUAGUUAAUUCCUAAAUUACCCUUCCGUGUGUAUGUACGGUGGGAGAUACAAAAGAUUGAACUUAGCUGUACUUUUACGGGUUGUUUGGAUGAGGUAUUUUUUAUAUGUGAUAUUUUGGAAUAAAGUAGUGGAUUAUUUGAGAAUGUUGUAGUUGUGUGGUACAAAAGACUUGUUGUAUAAAAAUUAUCUUGUUUGACUAAUUUAAAACAAUGUGUUAAUUCGCAUGUGGUAUGUGAUGAAUAAAAAGGUCUAUUACUAUAUUACCCUCAUAAAAUUCAAUCUCUAAUGAAGACAAUAACCGUGUUUGUGAGAUUUUUUUGUUAUGUAUUUUAUUGUAAAAUAAUGUUUUAUGUCUUCAAGUCUUUUGAAGUUGGACUAUAUAGUAGUCUUAUAUUUAAACUUUCUAAUUAAUAAGUUAGGCAGGAUGGGGAUAACCACGAGUAUUUGAAAUCCACAAGUUUGGGAUGUGUAUGAAUAUUGAUAUUCGGAUGAGGACGGGGAUGGGGAUGAGUUUUAUGAAUAGAUAUGGAGAUAGGUAUAGGUAUCCCGUCCAAAACCGCCCUAUUGCCGAGUCUAGUUGUGAAAAGGAAGAACAAAUCAAGGGUAAUUUGGGGUUUAAAAAAUAAUGGAUUGUUACAGAAACCCACUAAUUUCUAUCACAUCCCACCAAAGUAUUUUAAAUAUCAUCAACACCUACUAUUUCAAAGAUCUUAUUUCAAAAUAUCACCGAUUUUAUUUUGGAUGUCAAAUAUAAUAUUUGGACCAAAAUACCACUUCCAAAUGCAUCCACCCAUUAGAGUUUGAAUACAAUUUGCUCUCGUAGAUCUAGGAAAAAGCCAAUAAUUAAAAGAAACUUAAAGUAGGAGAGAAAUCACUGUUGCAUUAGUCUCUCAUCUAUGACUGCUCUGCUGACUUAAAGAACGGUUGUGAUUGAGUAUGAAGAUUUGAUGAUGCAAAAUUGUUUGUUUUUAAUUAUUUUGGACGGUUUAGAUUAUUUUUAAAGAUUUAACGGUUGAUAAUCAUUUGUAUUAUACAAAUGAGCUUGCCUAUGUUUGUAUGUACCUAAAAUUUAAAUUAAUUAAUAUAUUUUUCCUAUUUUUAUNNNNNNNNNNNNNNNNNNNNNNNNNNNNNNNNNNNNNNNNNNNNNNNNNNNNNNNNNNNNNNUAAUUUUUGCGUUAAAUUUUUUUAUUUUUAGACACGAUUAAAAGAAGCACAAUCAUGAUAAGAUUUCGACAAACUUUUUUUAGGUCAAACGCGUAUGUUGAUUACGUCAAAAUUAGACCUCAUAUCGUUGAACUCGAUUAUGUAACAAUGAUCGGGAUCGUUGAUCAAUGCGUGUAACGAAUUUUUCAAUUAUUUUCCCCANNNNNNNNNNNNNNNNNNNNNNNNNNNNNNNNNNNGAUUUAAAGUAUGUUUUUUUUUUUGCCACCCGCAUGUGGGUAGCGAUUCUCAAACACCAACUACAUAAAAUUGAUAUUAUGCAAUUAAUGAGAUAUUAUCACUUUUGUAAAUAAAAAGCAAAUAUGCACAUAAAUUUGAAUAAUGGUUAAAUUGGAUUGGCUAUUCAUUGUUUAGAUUUUCUUAUUAUUUUGACUUAGCCUUGCAUGGAAUAGUUUACAAAGAAAACUGAAACAUGGCUCAUUAAUUACAUACCAUUCUGUUUGACUCAAAGUAAGUAAAUCUCAAUUACACAAAAUGAAAAUUCAUUGACAUUUCCUUAUUAUCUCACUCCUCGCCUCCAUAUGUCUAAGUACAUUUAAUAGCGUGGUAUGUUAACGACUNNNNNNNNNNNNNNNNNNNNNNNNNNNNNNNNNNNNNNNNNNNNNNNNNNNNNNNNNNNNNNNNNNNNNNNNNNNNNNNNNNNNNNNNNNNNNNNNNNNNNNNNNNNNNNNNNNNNNNNNNNNNNNNNNNNNNNNNNNNNNNNNNNNNNNNNNNNNNNNNNNNNNNNNNNNNNNNNNNNNNNNNNNNNNNNNNNNNNNNNNNNNNNNNNNNNNNNNNNNNNNNNNNNNNNNNNNNNNNNNNNNNNNNNNNNNNNNNNNNNNNNNNNNNNNNNNNNNNNNNNNNNNNNNNNNNNNNNNNNNNNNNNNNNNNNNNNNNNNNNNNNNAAUUUUAUGUUAUCCGCUGCUUAAUUAAAAGGAUAUUUUAGUAACUUUAUUUACUUUAAAAAUGAGUGUAUGACAUUCAAUUUGGGAUGUCUCAUGUGUGAAUUUUAAAAAAUGCAUUUCUCAUUGUUUUUAUAUAGCACCUUCGACCUGUUUAAAUAAGUAUUUAGACUGAAAGUCAGCAGUCUUAAAAUUUAAGUAAUCGUUGAGUAACAAAAUACCCAUAUGCGCACUUCUAAUUAUCCUCUUUAAGGCUAUAAAACUUUUGGUAUACUUAAAUAAAUAUUUUGAUGGUAAAUCGACAAUCUUAAAAUUUACUUGAAUACAGUAUCACAACGUGAUAACUCAUCAAAGGAAGUAAAAAAUUAAUUAAGGAAUAGUCGAAUGAUAUUGUUUGCAGCUUCCAAACAUUUAGUUAUUAAAUUGUGCACAUACAUGCAGGAGGAGACAGAGGAUGGUGGCGGCCACGGUGGCACGGAAACUACUGCAUGUUCAAGGUAGAAUACGCCGGUGGACAGAGUUCGGAAGGAGUCUACGCCACCGAACAACUAACCUUUCGAACCUCCGACGACGGGACAAUCACUGUCCCGAAACUUCUAUUUGGCUGCACUAUUCUGGAGACUGGGACCAACGAUCUCGAUCCACGAGUCAACGGGAUACUAGGAUUGGGUACAUGGGUUCCUGGUAUGCCGCGAGGAGCAAAAUCCUUGGUGAACCAAUUGGGGGCCAAAUUCUCGUAUUGUGUCGGUAGCUUAUCCGACAUUACAUACCCUUAUAACCAAUUAUCUUUCGGUGAUGCUGUUGAUUUAGCCGGCGACCAAACUCCGUUCUACUUCAGAGAAGGCAAUUACUACAUGCACCUCGUGAAUAUCAACUUAGGAGGACUAGUAUUAUUUACUUAUGCUGUAGUAUCAAAUAUUUUCUUCUAACAUGCACUUUUGUCACCUCUAUAACAGAAUAAUAUAAUUAGAUUCAUAAUUAACUUUUUUUCAAUAACUCAAGUUAGUGGGAUGCAACGAUUUUUAACAUGGUCUCAGACCCUAAUUUGACUAAAUGGUCAUGUAUUCAAAGUAUGUUGUGUCCGUGCAAACUUCAAAACCGUUAGUUGGAUUUCGUUUGAAAGGUAUAAGAGAAUGAUAUAAUCAUAAUUUCAUUUCCUCAUAUGGUGGCAAGACAAACUUUCAUUCAUCUUCCAAACUGUAUGUAGUCCAAUCUUAUGACCUAAGUUGAUAUUUAAUGUGUUUUAUCUUAUUCUAUCUACUCCCUUUGGGAGCUAUCUAUCACCCAAAAAUAACUAAGACCCAUCCUGCUUAAAAGAAAGAAUAGACUCCAAAUUUUCUGUCUUCUGGACAUCCUACGAAUCCUAACAGGAAUGUUCAAAUCUUAUUUAUAUACCAAUUACAAAGACACAAGAUCCUCACUUCACAAAUGGGGAAGGUUGGAUUUAAGCAUUCAAUCGCAUCCAAAGAAUGUGACACAUUGCCAGAGUGUUAGUACCUUGAAUCUUACGUAAUUAUGUAUAGGUUUGUCCUUUCAUCUACUAAUCAAAUGGCUAGCUAAUCAAAUGAUCGCAUCUAAUCAUUGCCAUCUAAUAAAAAGCAGAACUUUCAGCCACUAAGCUAUCAAAAUGUGGCCAAUUUGAUCAUCAUUGUUGUCGUCCACUACAGCUGCACAAGCUUGACGGAACCUGGAGAUAAAUAGAUGAUGUGUUCAGUCAAAUGCUUUGACGAAAGAGGGGCUUAUUCAUACGAAACACAUGUACCUUGACAUGAUGUGGCAUGAUUUUGACAUCGAAAGGCACAUGAAGCCAUGCCUCUGGUGGGUAUAGGAGAAAAUUCUCAGGUUUGCUGGUGUAUACAUCUGCAUAUUGAUGAAUGUGAUAGGCGAAUGCAGAUUCUUGGCCUGUGUCGGUGAGAAACGUGGCCCCAAAUGACUCAUUGAACAUCUUCCUCAUCGUCUCCCUCGCCUCUUGCCUCUUUUGAUUCAGCUCCUUAAGGAGCAAGCCAUAGGUUUCGCUUCUGUUACUAUUCGGCACAAUGGAAUGCAAUCUCCCUAGCAGUUCUUGUAUGAUGUGGAAUUUCGCCUGUACAGGAAGUUUGUUCAGACCAAAAUAAUUUGAACUUGGUCACAAGAUAUCAAAGAAUUGACAAGCUGAAAAGCAUGGUGGUGAAACCAACCUGCUCAAACCGGUAACGAUCUCCAUUCUGUAUACGUAUUUCAUUCUGUAUAGAAUAGAGCACUCACGUAUCAUACAAAUGUUAUCAGUCCUAACAACUUAUGAGAAGGACUUAGUAAUAUUGCUUACUUCUAGUUCACGGAUGAUAGCAGCAGUUCGCCAUCCAGCCUUUGAAGGUCCCCUAAGAUCACUGAAGAGGUGAUCACCGAAAUAAAUCACCUACAAAGAGGAAGAUGAAUCUAUCAAGUAUAAUCAAAUAUAACGAGCUUAAAAGCACAUGGUUGAUCAUUCUUAUUCAAUCCAGAUAUCAAUGUGAACAAUUUUUCUCAAUGUUUCCCUAAGUUAGCUCUAUACUAUUUACAAAGGAAUUACGCCAAAAGUUGAAGUAUUAUACCUCUGGACCACGCCACUUGGUAAUUUCAAGAAAGGUUUUAAGGCAUCCAUGGUAAUAGAUUUUAUCCUGUACGAAAGUCUCCACCUUUGUAAAAGCCAGAGUGUCCCUUUCUGUGUCAUAGCAUCUACACGAACAUUAAUAAAACACUUUAGCACAUAUGUAAUUCCUAGUCAAGAUGACAGUCGAGAUCAGCUUGUUAUACAUGAAACAGUAGACAUCAAGUCAGGAAAAGUAGAGCCGCAACAUUCAUUAGGCUAUGGAACAUAAACAGGGCAGAAAAUAAGUAGUCUGAGACGCCAACCGAAAUGGGUGCUCAGAAGUGUAGAAGUCUGGCUUAUUGGCUUUAGCAAUCACAACAUCAAAGAGGUCUCUCCAGGAGUCUCCGCAACCAAUGGAAUCCUGAAGAACAUGCACACAUAAGCGAAUAAGUAUAGGAAAUCGAUGUUUACAUCAAUCCUUAAAGUAGAAUGCCAACCUUAAUAAUUGCAAGAAGAAAAACAGUUAGACGCAAGUGCAUUACAGAAAGCUUACAAAAAACUUGGAUGAUGUGGAGAAUAAUAGUUUUAGAAUACUCUUUUAUCACUUUCAGCAACACAGGUUCUAAAUUGUAGGUAAAAAAAGCAACAUAACAGAAUGUUCUAUCACUGUUUCAAGAAUGCGGUCAUUACCUCCAGCAUAUACCGCAUUCCCCCAUCCACAAAGUAAUAAGGAGAGUUGGUCAGCAAGAAAAGCUUCUUCCCCUUCUCUCUCAGCAUCUUAAGAAAACGAAGGGCCUCGUGCUAGAAUUGUCCAUGAUAAACCAGUGAACAUAGAGAGGAUGCAUCAAUAGAAUUUCUCGUCGUUGCCAAAAACAUAAUAUGCAGGUUCUUACUCACAUUUUUCAGCAGAUACUUUUGUGGAUUGGAAAGGAUGCCCCUAUGAGCUGACCCGCUUCGAUGAACAUGCUGAAUGGCACGGUUUACAUCUUGAUAGAUGUAAGAUGCAUCAAAUUCUAGCUUAGCAUCUACAAAGUGUUGGACAAUAUCUGCGAUAAGGCAUGCCUACAACAGGACAACAAGGGAUGUUGGAUGGUUUAAGGAGAACGAAAACAAAACAAGUUAAAAGCAAAAAAAUCCAUCAAGGACGGGAACACUUAUGCACUAGAGUAUAGAAAAGAAAGAGACAAUUACCUCACUAAAGCAGAAGAAAUCCAUUAGACCAACGAGUCCACGUGCUUGGUCACGACCAAUAUGCCUUGUGCCAUAUAUCUCUUCUAUUUCCUUCCUGCUAAGCUGCAAAUUGUACUAGAUGAGCAAUCAUAUCAUAAACAUUCUUCGCCUUAUAGACCAGGAAAAUGUAAUUGACUGACAUACCUUGCGUCGACCGAAGUAGCAUCCAUCUGGCUCAAUUGACCCAAAGAAAUCCAGCUUCAAAAGGCACCCGUUCUUCCUGUCAUAGUAUAAGCCUCUAAUGGGAAAUGUAGGAUCAUAUGUGAACCUCAUGCAUAUCUCAGGAUAUCUCAGCUGCAAGAAACAGACACCACAAUCUUAACACUAAGCACUGCAAUAUCACGUUUGUCAAAAGCCACAUAAGAAUCCCCAUGAUACCAACCUCAUUCACCAUAUGCUCCUUUGCAAGAUCAUAUAUCAAACUCUGCAAGUUGGAAGAGUAAUGGGCUAAUGUAUAGUCGUAGUCAAAUCCGUAAACUUGAAUGUUAUCCAAUCUAAGAUUCUUAUUCACAUAGAUGCCUAAAAGAGAGAACAGAAAACAGAGCAAAAAGUAAGAUUAGAGACAACACCGCAGCUUAUAAGCCCAAUUGAGGAAUAUAUACAAUUCACCAUUUACUAAACCUUUAGGAUUCAUCUUAGACAUUCCAGCGAGCGACUCGGGAACAGAAAGAAAACUAUUCUUUGCUGCCUCAAACUGGUGUCUAAUCUUCGCAACUUCAUCAUCAAAAUCUGAACCUUCAGAUUUCAGUCCUUCAGCCGAAGCACUAGCAGCAAUACUGUAACUCCUAAAAUUCCCUCCAAAACCUAAACCCCAAACAAGAAUAAAGAGAAAUUCAAAAUCAGGCAACCGCCCAAAGGAAUCACACAGAAGGUAUAAAAAAACUUACCUUCUCGUAUAGCCAGCAGAGAAAAGCACGCUCUCUGCAAGAAAGUCAUGAACUUUAUAUGAAAUGCAGAUACUUCUUACAAACAAUAGAAUAAAUGAGAAGAAAACAAGGAAAUGGUACACGAGUAUAGGGAGAAUCACACAGAAGGUAUAAAAAACUUACCUCCUCGUAUAGCCAGCAGAGAAAAGCAGGCUCUCUGCAAGAAAGUCAUGAACUUUAUAUGAAAUGCAGAUACUUCUUACAAACAAUAGAAUAAAUGAGAAGAAAACAAGGAAAUGGUACACGAGUAUAGGGCCGUAAAGAAACGAGUUUUCGGAUGGCGGCCAUGGCAGCAACUGUUCUCUCAGCUUCGUAGCAUUGGAGGAGAUGAAGUCUUUGUAUUACGAUUGAACAUUUCAAGAAAAGCUUCCCACUUGACUAUGAACUUUCAGCCAAAAGAAUGAAAAGUAGCCCACUUGGAGAUUUGGUGGUAGGUUAGGGUUUAUUUCUUUUUGAGGGAAGGUUAGGGUUUAUUUCGUUAGGUGAAGAGUGAUAAAAUCAGGGGGCUGAUUGAGACUGAAUAUUUAUAGUUACCAAAUAACCGCGCUGCUAACCCCAAAUUCGUUUUUGUUUGCAUUUAGCUCAAGGUUUUCGAUCGGACAAAAAUAUAUUGCAAGUCUUUUUUUUUGGGAAUUACUGCUACUAAAUUCUAAUCUCAUCGCUCUAAAAUAAUAGAAAUGGAUGAAAUUAUUAUUUUUUGGCUAACUAAAAUGAAAAUGUGCCACUAUCGACCACCGAUUGGAUGCUGGACUCGGAUGGGUCGGCAAUCCGUUUGGGUCUCGCCAUCAAAAAGAGGAGAACAUGAUGCGAUCUUGUUGCCAGCGAAGUCUUAAUGGGCUGACCACCCAUCUAGACCCUGCCGACGAAGAACCGUCUAGUAGACGGCAAUUAACUUUAACUUUAAUAUAUAUUAAAAUCCAUUAAUUACCAUGAUGUCAUAAUCUAACUAAUAAAUUAAUUAAUAGUUACCAUGAUUAAUAUUUUAGGAAUUAAUUUAUAAAAUAUUAACUCAUUUAAAAUUUAAACGGUAAAUUUACCAUAAAUUAAAAACCCAAAAUUCACAAUCCUUAAUCAUCAUAAUUACCAUAGUUUUUGUUUACUAGACCAUAAUUUUUUAUCACUCAAUGGCGUUAAUUACCUUGACAUGGAAGAGGGCAAAGGCUCUAGGAUUUCUUCCUAAGCCUGCCUUGAAGUUCCGGGACGAUCAAACGUUGCGCACCAAUUCAAUUGAAGGGAGCUUUCUAAAAUUCGAGAGGAUAAAAGAGGUUACAAUUUGGGUUUUUAUUUUUUGUCUCUAUGCUCGACGGUGGGCUUUUAUUCAAACAGCGCAAUGCCGUUGGGGGAACAACAACCGUUAGGAACACAACGGCUGUUGAGUCCACCACUGGCAAAUAGUUGGGCAGACAACGGUUGUUAAUGUAAAAAAGAUUAAGUCAUUUAGAUAUUUUGUAACAAAACUUCACAAAUCUAAUUGACCAAAAUGGAUAUUUAACGUUGCUUCAAAUCAAAUACUCUACAAUGUUUCUUAAUGUCCAGCUGCUAUGAAUUGAAGGCUGCAAUAUGUGUACAUGUUAACUUGAUCACUCAAGUUACACCUUUAACCUGAUAUAGCACUGCUCGCCAAUUUAUCGUCAUUGUCAUGUGUUCUAUUCAUAGCUGCGCAAACUCUCGUGAAGGUAGCUGCUUCUCCUCUAACAUGGCUGCAUGGUUUUCUAAGAACUCUUUGCUAUUCAUCUCAGUUAACCUGCAAAUUAUUCAUUUAACCAAGUUACUAUCAAACUCUGAAAUCCACAUACACAACACUUGAUUAUGCUUUGUCUAAAAAAGUGCAAUUACUUGCCUACUAAUGGUUCGAUCUUUAGCAAAGCCAAGCUCGUUAUCCACGCAAAGAUCAGCCUCAUCGUUUCUCCUCGAUCUUCCGGAGGUCCUCGGUGCCAUUUGCUGCGCAUCAGCAAUUGUAACAAUCUUCUCAAAAAGUUCGAAUGGAGUACCUUCUGCUGUGCACAGCAGUCUCGCCCUGUUCUCGUACAUGACCUGGAAAGAGUGACAAAAGAAAUUUGUGGUAUUUGUUCGAACAAGCUUUGGAUUCAAAAAUAAGACAAGGAAUUAGUUCAAGGAACAUACAUCAAUUAACGUGACGAAUCGAUACGCUGCUGUUCUGUUGUUAAGCCCCAAGAUUGGGAUACCUUCCAAUGCCAAUGUAUGGAAACUCUCUGAAAGAGGGUACAUAAAACAUUGUCUUGUAACAUUAGCAGGAAACUAUAUACUAUAUGCCUCCAAUGUUUAAGGAGUAAGAAUUAACUUACUGAACAAUCCAAAAUAAUCUGCAGCCCCAAGGGGUCUAUCACACAAUUCUUCAAAUUUGAAGUAUGCACAUCCAUCAGCAGCAAAUGGGACCUAACCACAUUGAGAAGAAAUAAAGCAGAUUAGAUGCUGAGAAACACCAAUGCUAAUUCAAGCAAAACUGCAAAUUCUCACACAAACCUGCAAUUUUCUUCCCAUUACUACUUCAACCUCUUCUGAUCUAACCUCGUGUUUGCCUACCAAUUCCUGAAACUUCUGCUUAAGGAGGCCAGCUAUAUUAUUCCCAACGAAGUAGAACCCUUGUUCAGCCUGUCCACCACCCAUGAAUCAUUAGUAGCGUUAUGAGAUUGUAGAUGAAAGGAAUGCUAAAUGAAGUCUCACCGAACCCAAUUUUCGGUAGUCUACUGAUGAGCCGAUUUCACGAACCACACAUCUUCCCUGGAAGAAAAAGACUUAUUUCCAUCAUAUUGAUGCUUGUUCUCUAAUUAAGGAUCUCAAACGCAUACAUACAUACAUACCUUCAGAGUUUCAAUGAAAGGAAGAAAUAGAUCCCUUUGCAAUCCACCUUCAUAUAGCUUAUCCGGGUUACGAUUUGAUGUCGCAACAAGAAUCUGUACUUGCCUCCAUCAUGGAUAAAUUAAAAAACAAGUUCUAAGUAUAUGCUCACAACCUUGAUGAGAAAAAAAUUCUGCAUUUCUUAUUUCUUGUUGUAAGAUGGACUUACAACACCAUUGUUGAAUAGAUGUCCAAAGAGGCGAUUUAGAAUCAACGCAUCAGCAACAUCAGUCACCUGAAAACAGAACCAAUGCAUAGAGUUAGUUAACACUAUUUCCAGCACACAAAUAAGUAUCAAACAACAUCAAAGAAACAACUGAUGAUGUGGAAUAAACAUACCAUGAAUUCAUCUAAACAUAAAAGAAUUGCUUCGUCAGAGAUCUCCCCUGCAACAACUUCAAGUGGGUCAGCCACGCCCCUAUGUCUCUGUGAAAAGGAGAAUUCUAUCAACUCAAACCCAGUUUGAAGUGCAUCAUGACCUUGAAAGAGUGACUCAAGUAAAAGAGGUAUGAACUUGACUCUUACUUGCAAGCGGCUAUGGACAUUCAACAUGAAGUCAUGAAAGUGGAUCCUCUUUUUCCUCCAACUGCAAGGCCUGAGAGAAAACCAAAGGAAAAAAAAAGAGUUAAAAAAUCCAGUAACUUCGUCAAAAGGCUGCGUUUAUUUCAGAAGGGAAUAACUAACUAACUGUGCAGAAAGCUUACAAUUGAUCAUAGAACAAAUCCAUCAACAUGGUCUUCCCGGUUCCAACACCUCCAUAAAGAUAAAGUCCUCUAACAGGAGAAUAUGAAGACUGUGGGAUGAAACGUGACCACAACCACCGUUUCCUGAUUGACAUUUGAUCAGACAAAUGUGACUCAACCUCUAAAUAUUCAUGUCUGAUGCAAAGGAAAAAGGACCAUGCUUUCAUCAUAUGAACAUUCACCUUGUAGAUUUCUCAGACGUAGCAUACCGAUCCAAUUUGCAGGCAUCAGCAGAAUCAACAAUCUCAUCAAAGAGCCUUUGAAGUUCAGUCAAAGUUCGUAACUGCAGAAGCAAACAGGAUCAAACUUUUAGAUUGGAAAUAGUAGGACAGGGUAUCUCUAUACAUAUAUUAGUAUCUACAAUUAGUAGGACAGGAUUUUAGGUUCAAAUUUAUGUUUUCAACUAUUUUAGUUGACAUUCUGAUACAAAUAAUAAAGUAAAUACUCGAGAGACACAAACCUCACAGUUAACAAUGACUAUGUUAGAGUUGAUUAUAACUAGGAGGGAGAUUAUAAAUAUAUUACAAUAACAAUGGGGUGAGACAUGACGGAAGAAAGAUUCAUACUUUUGCUUGCCUACAUGGGACAUGACUAAAGAAAAAUUGAUGCUUUUGCUCAUCUCAGUUGCAGUUCAGGUAAUAUUGACAUUAAACAAAUCAGAACCAAAUAAAAAACGUAAGAACGUAAUCUUAAAUAAAUAAAUAAAAUAACAAACACCUGGUAGUUAUCACCAUCCACAAGGUCUCCAGAAGCAAUCCUUCUUUGGUACUCCACAAGAGGCCCUGCUAUCCUUAGAUCUGUAAAAUGAAAUCAUAAUUACGUUUCAAAUUCCACAAAAUGGCGGUUGAAAAAUUAAAUCACAAAAGAAAUUGGUAAGAAGAUGUUGACCUGAACUUGUGACACUAGCAGCAGCAUCAGUUGCCAGAGUCCUAAAGUUGGCAAAUUUCCUGUUCUGAAAUCUGUCAGUUUUAAGAGAAGAAGCAGAUGUUCUUUGUAUCAAAUUCUGCUGCCUUGUUCUUAUUCCCACCAAACCAGCUGAGGAGUUGGUCGAUUCUUUAGUCCCAACAGUAGAAACUAAUUGCCGUACAGAUCGAAUACUUCUUCUCAUCCUUGUGUUCAAUUCCCAAAUAUAGGCCAACCAGAAAUGAAAAAGAUUCGUACUUGCAAAUGCCCUCCUGCAAAAGAAAAGCAGUUGGCUUUUUUAUAAUUUUUCUUGGUUUUUUUUCCAGUUUGACUCAAAAUCAGAAUUCCAAAGCAACUCACACCACCAAGAUCAAUCAAUCGGGACUCCAUCUGAGGGAAACAUAAGACAUAUGUAUGUAUGGGGUUCAUUACUCGGUAAAGAUAAUUUCAAUAGACUGAAAUGAAAGCAACACAAUUCUCAGAGGUCCAAAAAGAUGCAGACUUGACAGAUAAACAGAAGAAGUGAUAGCAAAAAUCCAUUCGUCUCAAAUCAUCGAAACAGGAUCAAACCCAGCAACAGCAAGAACAAACACCUAUAUAAAAAAACCCAGAUAUGAUUCGAAGAAACGCACCUAAGGGAAAGGAGAGAAUGCGAAUUGGGGACAGAGGAGGAAAGAAAUCUUAUUCCCAGCAGUGAUGAUUCGAAGUAUGGGAGAGAUUUUUGAGGAUAGUGGAAUUGGGAUUGGAUAGACUAUUAAGAAACAGAGUUGUUGGGAAGAAGAGGGAGAGUUAAUGGGAGAGAUGGUGAUGGUGACGAGGAAGGUUGAAUCAAAAGAAUUUGGGAAUGGGAAGGAAGAAAUGUCUUCUCUAUUUCGGAUUCAUUGAUUGAUUGGGGUUUGCUUUGCUUUCAGGGUGGCGUAUGUAUGCGGCUGGAUUAACGAAACUUGAUUAAAACGACGAAAUUAAUUAGUGUGGUUAAAAGUUUAAACAGUCUAUGGUACUUAACGAUGAUGUGGAUUGCUAAAUUAGCACGUGCGACGAUCAGAUGGCAACGGUAAGCAGCUGUGUGUUUGUGAAUGUUGUUUUCCACCUAUGGGAUCAUAUUCAUAUCCUUUUUUCUUGGUAUAAAACUAUAAAUGGGAUCAUAGGACCAUUUUUAAUGGCCAAGGUUUAUGUUAAAUAGCUAAAUUUCGAAAUUAAUUUUUUUAUGUGAAAUUUGGGGUGUCAAAGUGUUAAAAGUUUUAAAUUGGCUUAGUGAUUUAACGGUUUUGAUGGGGUUUUUAGAUAUUUGUAAUACUUUUUAUUUGCCUAUCAUUUUUAUGUUUGUGAUAACAUUUUUUAUAUUUAUUCUAUGUUAAUUAAAUUUUUAUAUUUUUCAAAAAUGAAUAUAACAAUAUCAAUUUUGAUGGUAUUUAAAAAAAUUUAAAACUACGUAAAUUGAUAUUUUAACAAAGUCCAUAGCCAAAUUUGGUUAUGUUNNNNNNNNNNNNNNNNNNNNNNNNNNNNNNNNNNNNNNNNNNNNNNNNNNNNNNNNNNNNNNNNNNNNNNNNNNNNNNNNNNNNNNNNNNNNNNNNNNNNNNNNNNNNNNNNNNNNNNNNNNNNNNNNNNNNNNNNNNNNNNNNNNNNNNNNNNNNNNNNNNNNNNNNNNNNNNNNNNNNNNNNNNNNNNNNNNNNNNNNNNNNNNNNNNNNNNNNNNNNNNNNNNNNNNNNNNNNNNNNNNNNNNNNNNNNNNNNNNNNNNNNNNNNNNNNNNNNNNNNNNNNNNNNAAAGAUAGAUUGAAACUCAAAUAAUGUGAUCUGAUCAUUUCUCAAGUCUUGCACUGAAACUCAAAUAACAUGGUUUGACCAUUCUCAGACUCAAUGCGGUCUAAAAAUGAUCAGAUCACGUUAUUUAAGUUUCAAUCCAUCUUUUUAAGUUAUUUCAUAUUAAAAUGUGUCAACAAAAAUUUGAAAUACUUGAUGUUUUAUAUUUGGUUUUGGAAAAUAUGAUGAUAAAAAAUCGGUUACCACUGUAAAACCGAAUGUUAAUGAAUUAAGAUCGAAAUAUGUGGAAACUCGAACAUAACAGAUUCAUUUUUAAGGUCAAAUUGUGUGUGUUCUAGUAUGAGGUUCCACUUCUUAUUAGUUAACUGAUGGAUUGUACUUUGAUUAGUUUAACAUGUGAUGUGGCAGCAGGAGGUGGAGUAAAUUAUAGUUGUAUAUCGUUAUCAUGAGAUGGUGGGGGCCACAGUUCCACCGCAUCCUCCAAGAACAUUGGCCUAUCGCCACAGAAACUGUUUCCGAGUGGGCAGUCUUUCUUUGAACUUUUGAACUUUGAGAGAAUCUAAUUCUACCCAAUGAUGUGGCAAUCUUACAUUUAGAAUUUGAGAUUACGUUUAGGAUAUAGAUUUCGAAAAUAGAUUUGAUGAAUAUAUUCUUACAACUUACAAGAGAUAUUAUAUUAUCAGUAUUCAUAUAUAGAGCAUGUUGGAUCAAAGGUCUCUUAAAUUGCCAGCACACAACAUAAUUAAUUACAUUAUUCCACCGAAACAUUACAAUAUCAAUCCAAUUACCCCGUACAAUGUUCGUAAUUUUAUUAAUUAGUUUUAGUGAUUCAGCCGACAAGUUCACUAUGACUUGUUGGUCAUGAACAAAAUAUUAGAUUUGGUUUGGUAUAAGGGAUAUUUUGUUACAUUUUCUGGAAAUUUUAUAUUUUGAGAUAGUUUUGUUUGUUUAGUAUUUGGUAGAGUUGUACUUGCAAUUUUCUAAUAUUCAGACUUUCGACUCCUUACAAUAUAAUAAUGUCUCUAGUACUUGACCAGGGCCUUCCAAAUCUAACAUUUUUGGCUUCCAUAACAUUGUUACUUACUUAGUUACUUGCAAUAUUUUGUUAUCAUUGAAAAUCUCAACAUGUUGUUAUUGAGCCGAGAGAAGAACCUUUCAAAUUGUCCCGAUAAAUAUAUCGGCCGCAAAUGAGAUGAUGGGAAAUGUUGAUCUCUUUUUUAGUUGAAGAUAAAUUUAACGAAUAUAUCAUUGCGAGAGAUAGGAAAAGAAAAAAGUAUCUUAUUAUUGGUGUUUAUAUGUUGGAUUCAAAUUUAGAAAUUAGAACCUCUUAAAUUGCUAGGACACAACGGAACCAAUUGCGUUACUUCACCAAAAUCCAUUUAGGAUAUCAAUUCAAUUAAAUCGUACACUGUUUGUAAUUUUAUUAAAUAUUUUACCGAUUCCACCGGCAAGUUCACUAUGGGUUCUUGGUCAUGAACAAAAUGUUAGAUUUGGUUUGGUCUAAGGUAUAUUGUUGUGGAAAGUAUGAAUAAUUGAAAAAUUCUCAAUAUCAUAUCUUGUUUGGUUGACUGGAAUUAAUUGGUUAACUGGAUUAGUUUAGAUGAAAUUUUUAAUAUAUAAGAUAAAAUUAAUUAAUUAUUAAGGAAGUAAUGUGGGCUACCGUGAUUUUAAAUGGAGACUACUCAAAAUAAAUUAUUUCCUUCAAAAAUCACUACAAGAAAAAAUGCAUUAUAGUCGCGGGACCAUAGUCGCAGUGACACGUGUGUGCGACUAGCUUUGUCGCACACAUCAUCCGUGUUGUCACAGUCAGUCUGAGACUGCGACUAAUUUAAUCGCGAGCCCAAUAAUUACAUGCAGGCCUGCGACAAAUAUCGCAUGCGACUAAAUGGCCUGGGACAAAACUUUGCCCGCAACUAAUUUAGUCGCAAUCGACCUGAGACAAUGUUCUAACCUGCGAUGAAAUGGAUGAAUGUCUACCCUCCAGAUCACGUAUUGUCACCAUUCUCUUCCAUUCUUCCCUUUCUCCUCUCUUCUCCUCUAUUUUCUUCUUCUUCCUCUCUUCUGAAAUUCUGCUAAGACGACACUGGCAGCCGGCAGACGAGAUCGAGGGAGGUGGGUCGUCGGUGCAGGAUCCAGUGACGGAGGGGUCGAGCUUCCUGGUAAGUUGUUCAUCUUUUUCUCAAUAUUUGGUUCUGAAUUUAUUUAUUUUGAAAUCUCUGUUCUUCUAUUAUAGGGAAAGGGAAUCAAUUUGAUGCACUGAAGAACAAAUUUGUUGCCCUCUCUGAUCCACUCGGUGAUAGGUUGAGAUUUACGAGAGCUUUUUAAAUCGGAUCUAGAAGCCGUUUCUCCAGUUCCAGAUUCGAACUCUUGUUUAGAGCCUUUUUAAUUAUGAUAUAUCAGCCGCUAAUCAGUGAGACUAAUGUUCGAUUGAUCUGAAACGAUGAUUGCGGUUUACUGGAUGGAUGAAUGCAGGUUGCAUACUUUUGUUGCAGUACAGUGGGCAGAGUCGUUGGAGUAAGGUACAAAGCAUGUGACGGUAAUGAACCAACCAAAAAGCAAGUGAGUGUAUUGUUUGCAUAUCUGCAGAAGCAAACAGAUAGAAAACGACCCGUAACAGCUUUGCCGAUGGAAAAAAAAAUCUGACCUGAUGACGAAAGCUUUUGAUGAUGCUAGAAAGAACACAACACAACAGUCCAACGCUCAUUAAAACUACUCAGUCAAACUACAGUACUAUCUGUUACUAGCCGUUGAUGCUUUUCUCAUUUUCAGUACACAGAAAAAGGUCCAAGUCUUGCAAUAGAAUACCCCCUUGUAUCAGCCUAAGAAGAACAUCAUCAUCCUUAUGUACAUGGUGAACAAAAGAACCAAACCCCACACUAAAUAUUACACAAUUUCAUCUACCAAAUAAAGAAAGAUUCCAUCUUUGUAAAGAAUCAAUCCAAAAAAAGAGAUAUUAUCAUUCCAUCAUGUUCUAGUGUUUUGUUCCUCUGGGAGUUCCAAUGACUUACCUAGGACCAGACAGCUCCAUGGCAUAGGAAUCCAAGGAGCGUUCAUCAUCAUCGUCAUCGUCAUCAGCCAUCGACAUGCCAAGCAUGCAGCUACUCGACCGAUCAAGGCUUCCAUUUUCGAAUACAGUAAUGGUGGUCCUGUUGUAGACAUUGUUCAUGGUGGUGGUGGGAUCAGUAGUAUGAUUGUGGGAAGCUGCCCAUUUCUCAGCUAGGCCGUCCCCUUCGAGCAUCCGGACCACUUCAGACAUUUUCGGACGGUGAGCUGGGAGGUAUUGAGUACAUAGCACUGCUACUUGCAGCAUCUCACCAACUUCAAUCCCAUCAUAGCUGCUGCUCCUCAGCUCUCUGUCCACCAACUCUUCCUCUCUUUUCUCCUUCUGUAUCUUCUUUACCCAUUCAAGCAUAGCUCCUUUCUGAUUGACACUCUUCCCAAACUCGAGGGCUCUCAUUCCUGUAAUGAGCUCUAUCAGCAAGAUACCAAACCCAAACACAUCUGUCUUCUCAGAAGAUUGGCCAGUGGAGAGAUACUCUGGCGCAAUGUGUCCCACCGUGCCACGAACUGCAGUCGUUACAUGCGAAUCGGCAUGGUCAAGGAGCUUAGCGAGGCCGAAAUCGCCAACCACUGCCUCGCAAUAGUCAUCAAGCAGCACAUUGGCAGCCUUCACGUCUCUGUGAAUGAUCUUUGGGUCACAUUGCUCAUGGAGAUACAAAAGACCCCUGGCUGCCCCGAUUGCUAUCCUCUUCCUUGCGUUCCAAUCCAAUGCUGGUUUUCCUGCAAUUCAUCGGAUUCAUUUUGAUAUGAUUGCCAAAACUCAGUAUCAGAACAUCAAUCAACCAAGGACGACUAAAAUGCAAAUACCUCUAAGCCUUGAGGCCACACUGCCGUUGGACAUGUAAGGAUAGACCAAGAGCCUCUCAUUAGCAGUGGCGCAAUAUCCAACCAGCCGGAGCAAAUUUCGGUGAACUGCAAGGCUGAUCAUUUCCAACUCGGUCCUGAAUUGAGACUCGCCAGAGCUUCCAGUCAAGUCCUUGAGACGUUUCACAGCCACGGUCGACCCAUCUCCUAACUUCCCCUUGUACACAUUGCCAAACCCUCCAGCACCAAGUAUGUUCUUCGAGCUGAAGUUGCCAGUGGCAUGCUGGAGCUCUCUGAAGCUGAAGUUUCUCAGGUUCCCUAAGCUUAUUAGUCCCUCUUCUUGUUUGUCUGGAACCAAAAAGAUGUUAAAUUUCAGUUUCGGAAUAUAGAAAGCUUAUUGUGUGUAAUGUGCUACUGUCAAUAAUUAUUACUUACCAUUAAUGUUGAGCACAAUUUCGCUUCUUUGCCUCUUUCUAUACCAGAGGAGCCCAAGAACCAGAACCAAGAAAGAGAUUGACCCAAGACUAACUCCCACAGCAACUCCAAUGUUCUUAGACUUGUGCUUUCCUACAUUUUCAUAUCAAAUUAUAAGAGCUAAAACUAGAAUGCUGAUUUGAAAAACACUCAUAUGGGAAGGUUUGGACCCUACAUUAUACACCAAAAUCGAAAAUAGGUGUGAUGCAGGACUCACCAAAACAAUGAAAAAAGGUAUAUCAAAAUACAAGUAAAGAAGAGAAAAAGGCUGUAAAUUUACCAGGAGAUGAAGCAAGUGAGAAAGGGAGAGGACCAGAAUUGACUGGCCCAAAACAUCCAUCACUGGACUUGCUUCCACAUAUCAGUGGGUUACCAACCACACUGCAUUUAAUUAACAGUGAGCAAAACGACAACAAGAAACCAGAGUCACAAGAAUAUUGUUAAAUCAAAGCAUUGGCCAAUCAGAUACUACCAAAAUAACAAUUGCAGGGUAAACCAUUAUAUACUGCUUACUUGAAUGUUCUUGUGGGAAACUUGGGAACCGGUCCACUCAGAUUGUUAUAAGACAAGUCCCUGCAAAGAUACACAGUGCAUAAUGAUAAUAAUAAUCAAAAGUUGGAAAACAAAACAUGCUACUCGAGUAUCAUCAAGACUUUGAUUUUCUCUUUUCUGGGGUCAGAUUCCUUUUGAUUCGAUUCUCUAGGCACUGAAUUGCAUAGCAUACUAACAAACAACACUAUGCCAAACCAAAAAAAUGUAUGAACAAUGUGGCUAAAGAAUUAACAACAAAGAAAAGGAAAUGAAAAUCUAUACUCACAAGAAAGCAAGCCGUGGGAUUUUGGCUAAGGACAGUGGGAAAGGGCCAGAGAAGCUAUUGUUGUUCAGCCUCCUAGUCUCAUUGCAUGACAAAAACAAAAACCAAAAAACAAACAAAACACAAACAUUGUACAUGAGAUCUCUCCUCCCACAUUAAACAAAUGAAUAAUGAACCCGGAUAAAUUGGCAGAAUUUCAUGGAAUGAAACAUCACAACUUCCUUGUUUUCUUUCUUUUUUCAACCUUCCAAACCGACCAAUUGACGCCGUUAUACUAAAGUUAUCGAUCUCCGUUACUUACAGGUACUGGAGGCCAACUAGCUGACCGAAAGAAUCUGGAACUGAACCAGAGAAACGGUUAUUGGAGAGGUCCAAAGUCUGAAGCUUAGAAAGUUGCCCAAUCUCUAGUGGGAUUUUGCCAGAGAUGUUGUUGUUCUGCAACAACCUUCAAAACAACAAAACAGAAACCUAAGGCACUGACAAUGAAACCAGAAAGCCAAUUCCAAAACAAAGGUUUGAUUUUUACACUUGGCGAAGAUUGGUGAGGUUCCCAAUAGCAGCAGACAGAGUUCCAGACAGAGAUUGACUAGGAGCUCCCCUGUAAACAAAAGAAUGCAACUUUCUUGUCAGUUUCUCAUUUUAUCGAAAACCAACAUAAGGGAAAAGUGAAAUGAGAUGAGAAAAACCCACAAGCCAAUGACAAGAUAGUCAGGGGAGCAAGUGAUCAUAGCCCAGCUACAAGGGUCAACAGAGUCUUCAUCCCAGUUCUUCAAAAUUCCAUGCGGGUCAUCCAAGCUUUCCUUGACUCUGAUCAGAGCCUCAACUGCACAUAAACAAACACAAACCGAAAAACCAUUUGAGAAAUUUUGGGUUUUGGGGAGCUGAAAAUUUGGGGAAAGUUGAGUUUUAUAAAUAUACCUUCAUGGUUGCGAGUCUCGUAGGAGGAACAGAGUGGAUAAUGGAUAAAAAGAGUGAGAAGAACAACAAGAAGAAGAAACUGUUUGGAAGCCAUGAUACUGUCUAGAAUGGAAACAAAUGCUUAAAGGCUUAUGAUAUGAUGAUGGUGAGGAUGAGGAUGAGGGGGAGCCAUGAAUUGUGAAUCUUUUUACACAGAGGAGGAGGGGAGCAAAAGGAAAAGUGAGUUAAAGAACCGUUUUGUGUUAUAUAUAUUUAUAUUUUAUAGAUGAGUGUUGUGGGUUUUGGUUACUUUUUUCCUUUAGUUUUUCACUUUUUUGGCAGUCACCUCCUUUUGCCAGCUCUCUUUCUUCUUUCCCUUUAUCUUUCUUUCUGUGUGUGUGGGUUUUGGGUCUUUUUGAUGAAAGAGCAGCAGAGAUAUUACCAAGGAAGUAUUUUAAGCAGAGAUAUUCUUGAGAAUUGGUUUUGAAAUAUAUUCUUUUAUUCAUCUAAAAUUUUGGAGAAUAGUGGAACAAUGAAAAUUUUACCGGUUUGGAGGGUUGUUUUGAGUUGCAUUUGAAAAAAGAGGUGUUCUCGUAUUUAUGAUGAGCGUUUUAAAAGUUACAGUGAGCUGUUGGAAAACAUUAGACUUGAGUUGAGAAUAAUGUGGUAUAGAUUUGUUGCACUACACUAAUGUUUGUUUUGUGUUAACUCUAACUUUGUUAGUGUUUUUCAGUUAAUGAGAAUAAAUUAUUUAUCAAAAAAAAUUACAUAAGAUUUUAAAUCCACCUAAAAUAUAAGGAGCUUUUUUUAAAGAUUUUGUAACUGAACUCGUGUCUCUAAUUAGGCCAGGCCAAGCAAUGCAUUACAUUUCCAAAAUCACUCUUCAUACUCGUUAGGCAGAGCCAGUAUUAAGUCCAGGAACUGACUUUAUAAUCAUAUGAAGAUCUAAGAUAUUCUGUAAUCAUCUCUAAUUGCAGGGUUAAAGUGUUAAAGUGUAAAUAAAUUUAGAUUUUGAUGUUAAAUUUGGUUAGUCAAAGUGUUAAAUUUAGCUCACUAAUUUAAUGAUUUGUAUUUUCAGAUGGGAUUUUUUGUGAUUUGUGAUUUUUUUUGUUCCCUGUCGUUUUUAUUUUCGUCAUAACAUUUUUAUUUUAAUUCUGAUUUGGAUAAUUGUUAUAUCCAAAUUUCUUUCUUUCAAAAAAGAAUAUAACAAAAUCAAUUUUGACAUAAAUGACAAAAAUGACAAAAAUAGAAAUGGUGAUGAUCAAGUUUAUAUCCACCACUAUUGGAGCAGAAACACUUAUUGAGGUGCUAAAAAGUCAAAUUUAACUAUUUUAUUCGACAAUAUGUAUAGUCUUAAGUAGUGAUGAAGUUUAAUUUAUUAAAAAACAGUAGUGAUGAAGUUUAAUAAAUAUUUAUUCCAAGUUUUAAUCCUUACUCCUUAGCCGAUGUGAUUUACUCUAUGGGGAAAUUAUACACUAACUAUAUGAUAGAAGUAUGGUUACUCAUUGGUUGAGAGAAGUAUCCAGGGAAGAAAAUGGAGUUUUGGGGGGGUUUGUUUAAUUUAUAAGAGGAAGACUAGUGGCAUGGCUAAACUUCUCUCUCCAUUCCUGCAACUGCAAGUUUCAGAAGGCAGAAGUGAAAUGAGGAAAUGGGGAUAAAUGAAAUUUCCCAGAAUCAAUUUCCAAGUGGAGGGGUGGAAAUGAAUGAAGCACCAAUGACCAAAAUUGUAGUGUGUUGGUGCUACAGGGUGGUUUGAGUGGAGCAGAGAGCAGUAGGGGGGGGGGGGGGGAAUUCAAUCCCCCUUUUUUUGUGUUGUUUGCAAAUCCCCAUUUAUGGAUGUUCUGAUUUGAGAUGAAAUGGGGCUCUGUUCGGCUCCUUUUGUCCUGUCAUACCAUAUGUAUCUUCAUUCAUCUCUACUGCAAACUGAAGACAAGUUAGUAUGAUGAAAUGAAAUAUGCAUGUUGUGUCCUAUACUAUAUAUUUUCGUUUAAAAUGUAGGGCUUAGCCGAUAGGAAAUUUAAUAAGUUUUUAUUGCAAUAUUGUGUUUAUAUAUUUUAAAAUUCUCAGUGACUUCUUUUUCCUCUAUGACAUCGUUUUUCUUGGCGGAGGAGUAUGAUGUGAAAUGUGUACAAAAUAUUAUGCAAGUUGUAAAAAGUAUAAUACACCAUUCAUGCAAAGGGUAUCAUAGUUUGUAUCAUACAACUUGUAUUGCUUCACUCUUUGUCUUUGCUUCCCUCUUCCCCUUCCUGUUCUUGUUGUCUUUCCCAAUCAUCACAUUUGCAUGACUCUAUGUAAGUUGUUUGUGAUGGACAUUUUUCUCUUUUAUUAGAGUCUUUGGUUGUAGAUUUGAUUCUUAAUUUUUAUUUUGGUCUUUUUGGAUGUAUAAAGAAUUGUUUUCUUCUCUUUUUUCUUUCUUCUAUUUCUUUAUUUUGUCCUUAUGUUGGUAAUUCAGAGUUGUUGUUCUCAUAUGAGUUUGGAAGCCGAUCGAUGAAUCAGAGAUAAAAAAGACCGUAAUCGAAGAAAAACUUCUUUUUUUUGUUCUUGACAGUGCCCACGGUGGUUUACAUGGCAGUUUCCGAUGUUCUUUCUGAUCAACGACAUCAUUUUCUUUUGUCCGACCAACGGCUGUACCAAGAGAUGGAGAGAGGCGGCUGCAAUCUUUGGUGGGUUGAGAUUAGGGAUUAUGUUGUUGUUCUUUGUGCUAGGGUUUUGCUCUCGGGCUUCAUGAGUUUAAUGGCAUGUUUGUUUUAUUUUUUUGUCUUUUUUUGACUUUGACCUUCCUAUGUAUUUCCUCUUCCAGUAAUAAUAUAUUUUUGAUUUGUCAAAAAUACAACUUGUAUUAUAUAUACUAAGUGAAAUACACUAUACAACUUUUAUACAAGCUUCAUACUACUUGUACGUAUAAUGUACAUAUUUAGUACACAAGUCCAUAUAUAACAAAUUGUGACACAUAGUGUUUAUAUUUAUGUAUACAGAGUGUAUAUAAGUUUGUAAGAACCAUAAGUUGUAUGAUCGGUUGUCGAAAAAAAAAUUAAGAACGUAAAGUUGACGAUGGAAAUUGUUUUUUUGCCACUAGAGAUAGGAGUCGCCAGAAAAUUAAUUGGAAAACAUUAUGAUGAACGAAGGUGCAACUUCAUUUAUUGUUCUUAAUUUCCAUUUUUACCCUUCCAAUAUGGUCAUAUUUGAUUUAAAUUUUUUAUUUGAUUAAAACCCAGCCAUCUCAGAUCGCCGGCUCAUCGUCUCCGUUCACCAUACCAUCAUUUCCAAUGACCACCAGACGACCAUCUUCAAUCAUCAGAAAAUUUCCCAAUCAAUUCCCCGGGAUUAUGAGCAACGUUGGAGAAAAUUUUUGCACCUCCGUGAUCACUGUUGGCGACUCAAGUUUUUAGAAAUAUUUUCCGACGACUGCCUAUACAAUUUUGUACGGUUCAUACAAAUUUGUAUAGGUUUGUACAAACCCGUAUGGCUUGUGUACAAAGUGUAAUACUAAGUGUAAUAUUAUAUAUUGUACUAAGUGUUAUACUUAGUAUAUAUAUCUGUAUGGCUAUGGAAUGUUAAUUUUACCCCAUAUUUUCAGCAUUUAGAUAUAAAACAUGAUUUUUAAACGGCUGAGAUUUAUGUGCGUUUCUUUGGAUCGGAUCGAAACCAUUUUUCUGGCUCAAGAUCCGGAUUUGGAUGAUGAGUGCCAAAUGGUGAGGUGACUCAAAUAUAUUGUGUUGUAGGACAUUGUUGUAAUUGGCUUUAAAAUUCGACCCCCACUCUUUGUUGAUGACCGACCGGGAAAAGGAAAAGAAAUGUAAAUGGGAGAAGGGGACCGACCUGCAAAAUGGUGGUAUAGUAAUGUAAACUGUAGUGCUGCAAAAUCUUUGUUGGGUACUGCGUUUUAUUCUUCAAGCGUGGAUGGAGAACAAGAAUUGAUUCUUCCACCAUACAAUAUUACUUUGAUUGCUUGGCUUUCACCCACUAUCAAUAAGCGAGUGAGUAGAUUGGUUUUGUUGUUAAAACCAUCCCAACCCCCAACGCUCACCCCGAGAUGGUCACUUUAGGUAUAUGGGCCGAUCUACUAGCCUGGGCUAUUGGGCAGAGCUGCUGGGUUGACCCAUUGGGUGCUGGCCCAUCAAGCGUCACUUGAAUAACUUGAAAAAUAAAAGAGCAAAGAAAAAUACUUUUAAAACUUUCCCCCCUAAAGUAAAUGCAGUAGGGACAUUGGAUAGUGGUGGCCGACCCCUGAAAAGAAGAGUUAGAGCACGACCUCAGCAGUUUUCGAGGUCCCCCCCGCACAACGAUAACGCCUGAUCAGAUGAGAAGUAAUAAAUGAAGCUCCCCAUACAUACAUAUCUAUCAACUGGAUUUUUCACCCAGAAGAUCUGCCAAAGCCAGUCGAGUAAUUAAUUGCAAAAGCAGAUAAUAACAUCAAAACGGAAAUCCAUCCAUUACAGCUUUCAUUUGUAUUCAAACUUCUUUUUGCAGUAAACUAAACAACUGUACUAAGUAAUGCUAAGCCAAAAUCUUAAAAGGUCUGUUGGGGAGCUCAAGUGGUCCUUCCGCGAAACAUGCACAACGAAAAUAGAGAGGGAAGCUGUCGACACCCGUCCAACAGCAGACCAGUACGAACAUUAGGGGUUGAUGAAGAAACCAAACAGACCGUCUCUGCUGAAUCGGAGUGAAGAACAACAGGCGAGGUGCAUUGCAAAUGUAACAUAUAUGUAUUACCAACAUAAUUUUGAAACAGUGCUAAAAAUGAAAAGAGGGUCGGCAAUGGGAAAACUUUACUCAAUUAAUUUUGUUACUAUGUGAUAAUUAAGAAAUGAAAUAACAACGUAACUUAAAGGUAAAAAUUAUAAAAAAAAAAAAAAAAAGAGAUUGAGCCGUCCAGCCAAUAUCACUCCCCACCAUUACCCUUGUCGAUCCCUCACCCUUCAAAACCCAUAAUCAACCACAACUUCUUCUUCUUUUUCUUCUUCUGAAAUCAAAGUCCACAGCCAUGUUCUUCCACAAGCUCAUCAACACCAUCCAGUCUCCCAUGAUUACAACAGUCUGCAAAGAUAAAAUAAGUGAGGAAAGUCAUGGAUUCAAAUUCCUAAAAGUGAUUAGGAAGAGGAGGGGUAGGCGGAUUAAGUUAAUGAAUAAUAUAGAAACUAUUCUGAACAUGGUGUAACGGUUCAUAACAUGGUGUCAAAGUCUUCAAAGAACUUAGUGGUCUUCGUUUUGAAUCCUGGUAGCCCCCAAUCCGUGUGUACAUGACUUACCAAAACUGUGCAAACCUCAUUUCUCACGAGAGCUUCUUUUACACGCCCCACAACUCGAGAAUUAUCGAGAUGUAACGGUUCAUUUAGUUUACUCAAAAAAUCACAUAAAUUUGAGAAGAUGGAAAAAUGGCAAGUGAAUGACUAAUGUUUUGGUAUAGUUAAUUUAGUUCACCUAACAAUUGCUUCUCUGUAGAGGGUUGUUUGUUUUUUAUAUUGUCGUGUAGCCAUAAUGAAAGUGAAGGAAAGGUUGUGAAGCAAAGCAAAGCAAUGAAUACUGGAACUAGACAGUUUGAGAGAGUGGAAAAGAUUGAAGGAAAUGAAAGGACAGUUUCCAGACUUGGCCAUUUGUCCUAUCUCAUCCCAUUUCCACGAUGCAUUAUUGUGUCACUAGCUAUCUCAAUCACUUAAUAAAUUUCAUGAAUAGUUCAUUAUAUUAUUUUCGUCCAAGUAAAAUACUAAUCUAUGAUGUAGAAAGAAACAGUAGAGCUAUGGCACUAUUGAGUCACUGAUUGAGUCAAACUAAGCCGUAAAGUUUGUCGAGACAGCCACCAAAAACGAACACACAAUACUCCUCAUACCCCUCACUACAAUAAUUCACAUGGCUAACUGUGGUUUUUUUCUAAUUUAACAGCGGAUAAACCGCUGGAUCAUAUUCUGAAGUUAGGUUACAAGAAUUCACAUAGCUAACAAUGAAUCCCUUAACGUUGAAAAUCCGAGGUUACAUGUAUGAGAAUUGAUUUGUGCAGUUAGGUUUCUGAAUUCUUGCAGUGCCUCCCCCCUAACAUUCAGUUAUAUAUCAAAUCUUUAGGUCCAGUUGCUCUUUGCACAGCAGAUAUCCAACUACACUUUAAAUCACAGUACAAUUUGUAGAUCUGCUACUAUUUCACAAACAUUCAAUUUUUCACUCUAGCUGAGGGGUAAAAAAUAGUACCCCGGGUUUCAUGGAGAAACUGUUAGUCUGUAAAUGUUUCUGCCCUGUGCGUUUCUCUGCUAAAAAUAUCAAUGAAAGCUUUCUUUCUAUCUAUUUAUUGUGCCAAACCAAACACACUUCAAUUUUAGGGCAAUCCAAAACCUGGGUUCAAUUGGGUUUUCAUCAAAGUUGAAAACUUUUGUCAGUUUUCCAAAUCUAAUAUCAUAAACAAUUGAUUUUGGAUCAUUACUAGCAAUAAAGUCUUCACAUUUCUAAGUUUAUAUUGUCUAAGAAACUCCAUUUGAAAUAUGUUAAUGUACCUCUGUUAGAGAUGAGCAAAUGUGUCAGAAUACCCCUCCAAAAUUUUCGAUAACAUAAAUUUGAUGAUGGAAAAAGUGACAACACUACCCUUCUCCCAGAAGUAGGACAGAGAUUUCAGAUUUUGCAUGCAUAUGAUAUAAGCAACAACAUAGGAAUCCGGGAUGGUCGGGAUCGAUUGUAAGACUGUUCGUUUGGACACGUGUACGGUGAUAAGGGUAGGUUUGAAAAUCUAAGAGGGUAGAAAAAAAGACUAAAGAACAGCAAGAGACAGAAUGUCUGAGGAAAAAGUCAGGUUCUUUGUUCAGAAGAAAUUGGACCCAAUUUUCCUCUUUCUUGAAAGGAAAAAGAGAAAAGGAGAAGUGAAGUGGUACCUCAAGGAGGAAAGUUGGCCAGCUCUUAAACCAAGAUGACAACACAAAGAGAUGAUCAAUGAUGGUGAGCCUUUGAUGAUCAAACGGCUCUCAUUAAUUAGCACUGUUCUGACAAAAUUCAAAGUGGGGAAGAAACAAGGAUUAGCAAUAAAUAACAACAAUGUUUGAACAAAACCAAUAUUAUGUUACAAUUUGUCAAAGUGAUGCCAGUCUCUACAGUUCCAUCUGUUGUAAGAUUUCUGGAGAAUAACUAUACUAACAAGAACCCAAAUGGAAUUAGCUAUUAAGGACCAAAACCCAGAACCCAGAUCUCAGAAUGCCUUGUGAACGUUGAGGUUUUGAAGGAAUGGGAAUGAGAAGAGGAGGGAAGAAAAUUGUGGAGAUUACUUACUAGCUUGCUUGCACGGUACAGUAUAAAUUGGUGGAAAUGGUGGAGGUAGAACAGUAUUCCCUCUGUCUUGUUGCAGACUGAAUUCUUGAAACCUUCAAACUUUGAGCUACUUUGAGAAACUUGGAGACAGAGAAGUGGAUGAAGAAGAGCUGAGAAGAGCAUUUGAAACAGAGAAAUGGAGAGUGAAUGAGAGAGAAAGAUGUGGGGGGUAUGUUUUAUGCUAUGGUCUUAAAGUAAGAACAGAGGACUAUAUAAUAAUAAUAAAACAUAGAUAAUGUUUGGCAUGAGUGAUAUUGGGUGAUAUGAAUAUUUAAUAUCAUUGAAUAGUUAGUUAUUUGAGAUAUUUUGGUGUUUCGGAGUUUAAAUAGUUAACUAUUUAGUGAUAUUGAAUAUCGUAAUAUUGUGUUAUUCAAUAUUUAUCUAUAAAGGGUGGUAUUGAAUAUUACCCUAAUAUUUUUCGAUGGACAUAACUACCCAAGGCAAUUUAAUCAAACAUGUGAAUGCUACAAUGGUAAUUUUCUCUAUCUUUAUUAUUACAAAUCAAGACCCACAUUAAAUCUUUAAACUGGUUAGAGUCGCUAUCAAAAUGUUAAUUGAUACUAGUUUUGGGAGGGGGGAAGAAAGCAAAAGAGUUUCUGAUAUGCACAGUCACAAUCUGAUUUCUUAAAACUUAAAGUGAGAGAAGAGAACACAAAAGAAAGAAGAGAAGCUCACUUUGGGUUUUUAUUUCCACUCUACUCUCUACAAAACUUGUAUUAAAGGUAAAAAGAAUGGUGACCAUGGUCCAUGGGGAAGGUGUAGAGAUUGUAGUUUCAGUAGUUUUCCCUAGCUAGUNNNNNNNNNNNNNNNNNNNNNNNNNNNNNNNNNNNNNNNNNNNNNNNNAACCGUACGUACUAUUUUAAUGGUUAAUAAUUAUGUUUAAUUUUGAUCAAUCUCGUAGUCUAUGAUUUGUGAUUUUACAUCCAAAGGGUGGAACAAUCAUCGAGGAGAUCAAGAGUUAUAUGGCGAUUAGAGUUUCACAAUGGAGAAGCACACAAGACUGCUAAAGUUUAUUUUUGGGACUUCCUCACCAUUCCAUAAUCUCAUCUUUCUAGUAGGAGUUGUCUUCUAUUAUUUUGUAAGAAAAUAGAGAUCUCGAAUCCUGAAACACAAUAAUCAAAGAUAAAUUAAAUUAAAUUGAAGAACAUUAAACAUAAAAUUUAAAGGAAUUAAACUCGACAUAAUGUGAUUGUGGAACUUAAUCCACUGUCUUUAAAGAAAGAUUUCCUUUUAACUCACAUGCUUAUAACUAAAAGUCAUUACAAUAUUCCUACGAUCUUUUGACAUUCAAAAUCAUAAGUUGUAACUGAAACGAUCUAAGAUUUAGUAGAUGAUUAUUGAGAUCUUAUAGUUCACAUAUUUUAUAAUUUGAACUUGAACACUUUUCAACUACCCAGAAUUUCAAGAACAUUAGUGAAUCAAAGUCACCAGCCCUUCUGGCUCAUAGACCCAAUCCCCCAUCAUUAUUCUUCAUGCAUCAGAUACGAUUUCUACUCCGUCUUCAUAGAGUGAUAGCAUGGAGUGGUAGAAUGGAAAAAACUAGUAUUCCAUGUUCCCUCCAAAGCCUAUUGCAAGUUGGAUUUUUGAAGCUAAAUGACUGUUUCAUGCUGUCUGACGAUUGGUGUCGACGGAAGGGACUGGUGUUACGGUUGGAGGGCGUGUGAAAUGCAUCUGUUACCUCUUAAGUGUAGAUUCCAAGCAAUGCUCAUUUUAUUAAUAGGAUUAAAGUCUUGCGACCGAUGCAAAUAAGCGCCCGCCUAGCUAGAGGUACAAACCUCUAAAGGCCGCAUGGAGUCAGUUCAUGAAGACACCCAUUUCCUUGCACCCUCUCAAAGCAUUACAAUCAUUUGACAUCCAAACAAAGAAAGUAAACAAAAACCAGCAAACGAAGACAGAAAAUCUGAAGAAAAUUACAAAAACGGUCCAAAACUAUGAGAAAAACUAAAAAGAAACCCAGCAAGUUUGGGAUUAGAACCGCCUUAUUAAAGCCAGCUGAGAGAGAUUAGAACCUUAGAUGAAUAGGAUUCCAACGCGUCAAAGAGUUGGACCGCAUGGCCUAGUGGCCACACUAUAGAUCUUCUUAUUGAGGAAGGUCCUCACAGCACAGAGCUCAAACUCCCAGACAUGGAGGACCUCGAUGAGGUCAACUAGUAAGAAGGUGGUGGCUGUUGGUUGAUUAACGACGGUCAGUUGUGCAGCAGCCGCCGGGUGGGCGGCGAUGAUUGGUGGUGUGUGGCGUGAUGUCGACGGACCGGGCAGGAUCCAGUUGGACAUGUGGCAGGGUGAAGCGAGAAAUAGAGGGUGGCCAUCGUGUGAUCGGUGGUGGCAGAGGAAUGUCGCGAGACAUGCCGAAAGCGGGAUAGAUGUGCCGCAUUGAAGAUCAGACGGAUGCGAGAGGACCUUUGUAAUACCCCGAUUUUAAUUUUGGUGUCAUGAAUACUAUUCUGUAAUCUAUUAAUAUAUUUAGUGGAGUUAGGCCGCACAUCCACCCAACCCAUAAAAAAAAUACAAACUUGUAGAUAAUUAGGAAAGAAUCAGUAGAAAUGACAGCAUAUUCUGUUCUUACAUAGGAAAUCAAAUAUUAUGUUCUGCUAAUAAAUUAAAACACUUUUUCCAAUAUGCCCACCACAACCAUUUGUUGGUUUGACGUCAUGUAGUUUGCUGUAACAAUUGUUCCUAGAUAUCUAUAGUUUCGUGGUCCGUAGCAGUUAAUGGUAUCUGUCUAUCCUUUCAUAGUAUUCACUUGAGUAAGAAGCAAGAUUGCCCAUAAGAACAUCUUUACAUGCAGAAUAAACCGUGGUUUAAUUUCCUAGCCAGUUAUAACUUAUAAUAUAAGGCUCGUCCUUCAGAUUUGAAAUUCAAAUAGUAAUUAGCUGUGAUUAAUNNNNNNNNNNNNNNNNNNNNNNNNNNNNNNNNNNNNNNNNNNNNNNNNNNNNNNNNNNNNNNNNNNNNNNNNNNNNNNNNNNNNNNNNNNNNNNNNNNNNNNNNNNNNNNNNNNNNNNNNNNNNNNNNNNNNNNNNNNNNNNCUGUUUGGUCUAUUUUCGACUAAAAGGAAUUAAAGAUAAAUUAUAUUAUAUGUCUUAUUAAUAAAAAUUUCUAAAAAAUUAUAGGAGAUAAUUAUAAAAAUCACUAAUGUAAUGAUAAAAUUCCUAUUAAAAAUUUCUAAACUAUUUUUAGGAUGGAGUGAAGAAAAUUCAACUUUUAGCAAUAACUCAAAGGAUAUAUUCUUCAGAUGUGACUCCACAUGGCAUGUAAAUGAGGGAACCUUACUUCCAACAAUGAAUUAAUAUGUUUAUACCAACUUCAUUUUGUAUUGUUUAUGAUAAACUACAUAGAAGAAUAUAAAUAUACGAUUUUACAAUUAUUACAUAAAAAAUGAGCUUCCCUGAUAGCCUGGAGCCAAAUAAAAAAUUCCCCACAUAUCAAUAUUCUAGCUUUUGCCAAUCCAAAUCUAUAAUCUAACCCCACCACUAGCCAACUAUAUAAAAGUAAAACCCCCCAUUAUCACCCCCUUACAAACAAAACCCAAAAUACAAAAUUCCCAUUUCUCAAAGGAAAACAGAAAGAAUGAAAGAAUCAUCAGGAAAUUUAGAAGGAGAGAAGAAGGUGUAUGGUGUUCUGAUGGCAGCAAGAGACUCAGAGUAUGUGAAGAAAGUGUAUGGAGGAUACUUCAAUGUGUUCAUUGCUGCCUUUGGUGGAGGAGAAGGAGAAAUAUGGGAUUUGUUCAGAGUUGUGGAUGGUGAGUUCCCUCUCAUGGAAGAUCUUCACAAGUAUGAUGGGUUUGUGAUUAGUGGAAGCCCUUAUGAUGCCUAUGGAAAUGACUUGUGGAUCCUCAACCUCAUUCUUCUUAUACAAACUCUUCACUCCAUGAAGAAGAAACUCCUUGGUAUUUGCUUUGGCCAUCAGGUAUCUUUUUCAAAUAUCUACUUUCGUUUUGUUUCCAGAGUAGCCGAAUAUUUACAAAAAACGAAGACCUAUAUAGCAUUUAUAACUUCCUGCUCUUUUGUAAAACAUAUUCGCUCCAUCUAUCCCAAACAAAAAAUACAAUCACUCAAUUUCAUUUUGGACCCUUUCUAUAAUCUAAAAAGAUAAACGUUGACACUUGACAUUGGUUUGCAAACUUCAGGUUUUGUGUAGGGCAUUGGGUGGGAAAGUAGGGAAAUCAAUGAAAGGAUGGGAUAUUGGGUUAAGAAGGGUGAGGAUUGUGAAGGAUUUGACACCAUGGAGUUUCUUAGAAGAUGUGAAGCAAAUGCCACCAUCUUUAUCAAUCAUUGAGUGCCACCAAGAUGAAGUGUGGGAGGUUCCAUCUGGAGCAGAGGUGAUUGCAUUCUCAGACAAAACUGGUGUGGAGAUGUUCACCAUUGGAGAUCACAUCCUGGGGAUUCAAGGCCAUCCUGAAUACACUAACGACAUUCUUUGUAGCCUAAUCGAUCGCCUUCUUCAAGGCAACUGCAUCGAGGUACCGAUUUUAGUUGAAUCAUAUCAAACUGAUAUGCUAUAUUUGUUUGAAUUGGUAUAAUCGAUCAUGCAUGAGGUAAAUUUUCUUUUUUUUUCCAGACAGAAGUUGCGGAAAGUGUCAAAUUUGAGUUGGAGAUAGCCGAACCGGACAGAACUUAUUGGGAGAAGAUUUGCAAGAACUUUCUUAAUGGAAGAUGUACUAAAUUAAAUUGAUGACCUUCACUAUUUUAACUAUGAUGACAUUAUACAUGUAGUGUUAUAUAUUAUAACCUCUAAGUACUUGAUCUAUCAAUAAGGAAAUCAAAAGCCAAAAAACAAAGCAUUAACAUGAUGUGUAGAUAGCUUUUAUAGGAAUAUGUAGUUGUUGUGCACGUAUAGAUGUAUGUAGAUAUAAUUACAAUCAAUGUGAAAUUUAAGAAAGAAGCAAAUUAAUAACAUUUUGUGUGUUGAAUUUGUUGGCACAUUUCCAACAUGGCAUGGUUGAGUAAAACGCCAGGCAUGGUAAUGGUAAUGCAAUGAACAAUCUUAAUGUGAAAGUGACCCCCUAGUUGUCAAUUGGACAACAACUAACUUAUUGAUUUUGCUCUUCAUUUUAUAAAUACAAUAAAUAUACAUAAAUUAUACUAGUUUUUUCCCCAACCCGUUGUUCGAAUUCAAUUGAUUUCCGUUUUAAAAAAAGCUUUAAUGAAGUUAUUCCAUGAUCAUAUGUCUUAAUUAUUAUAACAUCACGUGUUCAAAAUUUUUGUAAUUUUCGUUUUUGGUAUUCUGGCCUGCCAAAUAUUAAUUAUGAACAAAUUGAAAUUAGAUUUACUCGAGUGUUGUCGCCGGAGCUAGAGAGGCAUUAAUAAAUGGUGUCCCAUCUAAUAUCAAUCUCACUUCACUGGCUAGAGUUGAUGGUCUAAAACAUGAUUCUUUAUUGCGUCUUCCUUUCAUGAUCUACUUAAUUGCUGUAGGAAGAAAGAUUAAAGCCAUGAAAAUGAUUUCAAGGAUGCCGUCGCUGUUUGUUUGUCAUUGAUAAAUGCCUGCUAUAAGAGAUAUUGAUAAAUACAAAAAAUACUCUUUUGAGUGCUGAAUAUGACCGAUCAACAAGGAAAAUUGUCGAGAAUGACAGGAAAAUUAGUCGAUCAGCAACAAAAAAAAAAGAGAACAAGAUACAAAAAAGGGUAAAACUUCUAAAAAUCAACCACACGUUAUGAACCCUAAUUAAGGAAGAGGUUUCAAUCGGAUACAACCACUUCCAGACGAAAACGAACAAGCUGAAUCCAAGAAAUUAUAGUCAUUUAUAAACAAUAUCCAAAUUCAAACCCUAACAGAUCAAUAGAGCUAAAAUGAUUAUAAGAAGAAGGAAACCAAGUAAUACCUUGAGAUCGAGAGGCAAAAAGAGGAUGAACAAUCAUUCUGUUCAAUCUAACUAUACACACAAAUGUAGCACAUUGAAUUUCAUGUCGUCUCCAGAGCUUCUCUCAACAUGCGCAUCAGUAUGCUUGUAUGCCUCGAUCUAGAAUAGAUCAUGUCAGAUUUGGAAUAGGUCUCGCUAGAUCUGGUUGGUCGAGAUUCUUGACUUUCCUUAGUGUGCGAUUUGCUUGCAGAACCUUGGGGGUUGCCGGUAUGCGGAGGCUGUCGGAGGUGAAUGAGUGGCAUCGUUUAGUUCGAAUAUUAGGGCGUCAAAUAGAGAUUCAGUAUACGAAUCCGUAAAUGCUGGAAGUAGAUGUAUAUUUAAGCUGAAGAAAAUCUCCAGGCAGAGGAGGAGAGGAACAUAUACAUCGAAGAUAUGUUCUUAAUCAAGCACAUCAAAAUGCUAUACAAACAACAAUAAAAUGAAAGCAUGAACGAAAGUAAUCUGCCUAACUAUAAUCUCCAUAACAAAAUAACAGCAUCGGCAGCAGCAGCAAAACCAGCACAUAGGACCACUGAUCUUUCUACGCCUUGAAUCCCGAAGAGUAAGAGUUGUCCCUCCUGUUGUUCCUGAAAGCACAGCAACCAACUGAGUAGACAAUGAUGAGGAACACCAGGAAGACGAUGUUCACGAUCGCUACACGCUUCCAGUCACGUUUGAUGUUGUCAAGCAGACCAGCCUUACAGGAGUUGCAGUUGAAGCAAAGAACAUCUGCCUGGUUUUCCCAAGCGUUACAGUCUGAGUUGGUCGAAUUCGUGCUAGUCCCGGUCCAUGUUGUUGGGUUCACGUAGGUGAAUCCACAUUCGUCUGCUGGCUUGCAGCAUCCGGACUGAAACAUAACAACCACAAAAGAAGGAAUAUUGAUCAGUACCCUGUUCAUCGAACUAGUUGAGCAUUGCAGCAGAGACUAAUUCAGCACAAUUUAACCAGUUUGAAACUGACCAAAAUGGUUUCAUUAAGCACACAAAAGCGGCUACCAGUUAAAGAACAAAAGGUUCAGCUAAUAUAUGGAAAGAACCCAGCCAAAGGUUGAAGAUUCAUAGCUACUGAUAGUAGUUCUUCACUAUUUUCUACAAUUAAACAUCGACAUUUUAAGACUUGGUAAUCCAACGGUUAUGCAACACUGCACUGCAUAGAUGAACUUGGCUAGCCCAACUUCCGUUAAAUACUAUUUCAUUGUCCAGAGAUUUGACUCCCUAAUGAAUUCAAUUCACUCAAGAGAACAAAUUCCAUAACCAUUUCUGCACAAUAACAAAUUGAUUCCAGAGAUUUAACAAGUUCCUGUAAUUUCGAUGGUUCAUCCAUCAUUUGCAUAUCAAACCCCUAAAUCCACCAUAUGAAGUCAAAAUAGCCACCGACAAAAUUGAGAUAAGGAAUUGAAACGUGAGAAAAGAGGCAAUCUGGAAAAAGGCAAUCGCCUUUUUUCCCCAAUCUUUACCUGAAGAGAAGACAAUCGCUCGGUGUAGAACUUCUCGACGGAAUCAGAGAGAUAAGUCUCGUUGAACUUGGAGCAAACUUUAGCGUCAAUCAAACAACUCCGGAUCUUAUUCCAGUUCUUGGUGCUAGUGACUCUCUUCUGCAACCAAUCGGAGUAUCCUCCCAAUCUAUACUCCUUAUAGCCACGGUUGGACAGCGCUUGGCCGGCUCCUUUGUUGGUGACAACGAAGGCGAAGAUGGUGAAACAGAAGAGGAGGACGAUGAGGAGGAACAUGACUACGAGGUAGAUCCAAAGCAAGCAGGAGUUCUUGCAGCAAGCUCCGACGAGUCCGGCCAAGGAGACGAGCAUGAGGAAGACUCCGAUGACGAUGAUAGGUGUGUCGAGGAAACGGUCGCACUCGGAGCUUCCAUGGUUGCGGAGCCACGCGCCGGCCCAGAUUAUGGGGAUGGAGAGGAGGAAGGUGAUGAAGUUGAGGAUCCCGACGAGGUUGUUGCUUAGGCGGAACAUGGUGGCUGGGAGGUUGUUUGGUUGCUGAGAAAAUUGGGAGGAGUUUCUUGGAUGAGGAAGGCGAGUGGGGGAGAGUGAGCUAUAUAUAUCUGCUGAAUGGAAGUUACCGAGAAGGAAGAAGAAGGCGAGAGAAGGACCAGUUUGCCGAGUUGACGCGCUGCUGGACGCGUUUCAAUUGCCGCUGUGGUGGAACCUUAACGGACAUAAUCAGCAAAUUUAUUACAGGACGGGGACCUGGUUCAAAUAAUCAAAUGUCAAAUGUUUAGUGAGGGAUUAAUUUACUGAAUUACUAGUUUUCAUAUACAAACACCUUAAAAUUAAAAUUUGAUUUAUAAUUCGAAUCAAAAAAACAUUCCACAGCUUGUAUUUUCAACUUUGUUCGAACCUCUUAACAGCUGAGAUCUAUGGAUAUCGUAAUAUUAAAUUGGAAAGUAAUUGUUUGAUUAUGAUUCGGGUUCUUGAUCAGCCUUCUGAUGAUACAACCGAAUUAGGUGUGUUUAUUAGAAGUAUCCGAAGAAUCUGAUAGGCCUUUCAGUUAAAAUAUUCAGCUUUCCGUUAUAGCCAAACCAUAUGAAGUCGAAAUCAUACAUACAAAAAAUAACUAAAACUUAACGAUAAGAUUAAAGGACACGAGACCCAGUCUUUUAUGUUAAUCAAUCAUUUGAACUAAAUGGUAAAAUCGUAACAAUCUCCUAUGGGCAAUGGGUCUAGGCGGACCAACCAACCGAACAUGGCCAUGCCCAAAAUCUGUGAUGAUAAGAGAGGAAGGACUUAGUCUUUGGUUCAAAUAAAUAAUAACAUAUAUUUACAUUUACAAGUUAUUUAUUUAUUUAUACCAAAAUAUCUUCAACUAGUGGGUUGUCCAUGGUAAGACUUUUUGAAUGACAAGUUCGUCUUUUGGCUAUGACUCUCAGACUUUUUGAAUGACAGUUAUCUAGUUCACCGCUACUGCGAACUAUAACUAGUUAUUUGCUUAUUUUUUCAUAUAGCUAAUUGUAUUAUCAAUGGUAUAAUUAGGUAUUGGCUAACAAUAACUAGUUAUUUUCUCAUCUAACUAGUUGUAUUAUCAGUCCUAUAACAACGUAUUCAAUCAUGUGACUUGUUUUCUUUCUUAACUAGUUAUUUUCCUCCACUAAACUUCUGUAACUAGUUAAGAGACCUGCUGGAAAAAUUGUCAGAGAGCAUGGAUAACAGUCACCAAAAACUUGCUGGUAGCUAAAAAGUGGCAGAGACAUUAUAAAACAAUUAUGAUUUUAAGUGAAAAUACCAAUGUGAAAAGCGUAAGGCGGAAAUAAGGCGGUGAGAUAUUUCUUAUAAAUAUGGAUUGAAAGUUAGGUGGCAAAAUCUGAUAUCUGAAAAUACAUAAUAUUUAUUGUAGAUUAAUUUUUGAAAUCCUUGAUCCCGUCUUUGUGUUUAAAUGACCUCCUUGAUUCUCUUGCCGAAUGAAUUUGUUUUAUAAUACGAACAACUCUUUUGACAAACACUACAUUUAAUGAUGUCGCAGUCAGGUAAACUUUGAGGUUUCCGACUGUUAGCCUAGGUGAAACUAAUGAUGUCAUCACAAGAGCAUCGAAAUAAUUGUGCAUUUUGAAGUUCAAAUUCAAUAAUUAUGCAUUUCACGUCAUUUUACAAUUCCAUACUAACUCAGCGAUUUCACUAUAUUAACUAUAACCACAACUACGACCUGUUUGGUUGUUGUCUGGCUUACCAAAUGAGAUGAAAUAUUUGACCGUAACUUUUUAGUGGUUGAGGGUAGGAAGGACGGAAGGCGAUGAAGCAAAUAAGGCACUAUUUUGAUCCAAUAAAGUUCAGGAAAGUGCUUCAUCAAAAGGGUGCGGCUUCUUCAUUAAACAAUGGCUGAUAGCCGACUGUGUCGCUGUUCCACUUUGACUCAGAUUUACGAUAAACCCCACUACCACCAUAAACAAAUCAUACAGUUCCAACUCUCGCCAAAACAAUUAUCCAACAUCAUAUACAUAAAUACAACUAGUUAACGAAAGAACUCAACAAUCCAUCACAGCAAUCUCCAUUCCAACCAGUUAAUAAAGGGCUCUGGAAUUCUCUCCUCAAUUUGGUCAUAGAUGAGUAUAUUUCUUGUUUAUGAGCUCAAGUCCUUACAGUCAAGGGCCGUGUGUGAUCAUCAUUUCUUGCCAAGCGACUGAUCACUACAAUUCCCAUUCGACAUCAUCCCAUCGCCAGCUGCAGCACUACUUUGAUGAACAAGAGAUCUUCCAUGUGGAUCGACAUAGGAACCACCAGCUACUUGUAGAGGCUGAGAGUAAGCAACUGCUGCUAGAGUUGCAGCAAUGUCAAAAUAUAGAUUAACAGUUAGAAAUGUAAGAAGCAAAUGAGAAACAAGUACACACCAUUGGCUCGCUUCUCGGUGUUCAAGAUUUCGGCAUAUAUGGUAUCCACUUGUCUUGCCAUCUCAAUAAGGUUCUUCUCCGUCGACUGUAGCUCCUCUACUUUAGCUAUGUUGAACCCUUUCUCAUACUUGAAAGAAUCCCUUUAAUGUAAGAAGGGAAAAAAGCAUUAUAACCGGUUAUGUAAGGUUGAUAGUCUAAUCUAUCAAUCAACAUGAUUCAUUAGAGAUUAAGAAAAUGUAACUACACAAUUGAAGCGGGGGUGAUGACAUCAACUAGUUCACUUCAAUGUCAUUUUUGCAGCUGACACUUUUUUGGAGGUUUGAAGUCCGAAAUGGGAACAGCAUUAGAACGACUCUAAAAGGCCCUGCUAUUGUCACACCAGGUAAAAAUCCACAAGUAUAGAAACCCUAUAAUUAGGUCUAAUCUUCAGAGGAAAAGAGGUAAAAAUGGUUAGGAAGCAGUAGGUAAUAGUGACACAAGAUAAUGGUAGCCAUUAAGCUCGAAACUUUAUAGCUAAUGUCUCACUAUGUUGGGAAUUAACUAAAACCAGCGAAACUUUUGAACAAUGAACCAAAGCACUGACCUUAGUCUAUUGUAUUCCUGCCUCAAAUCAUCAAGCUCAGCUUGCAAAUCGGGUAAACCCUUAACCUCCGUACGGACUAUUUGCAAUUCACGGGAGGCCUGCCGAAUUUUAUCAAUUAACUCAGGUCUAUCCUUGACCAAGUUCCGUGCCUCUGUAAGCGCCUGCUUAAGAUCUUCCUUCACAUUCUCAGCAGCCCUAAUGUCUGCUGCAUCCCUUUUCGCAAUCUUCUCCAGCAAAACCCUAAUCUGGAUAUCACUCUCUGUUUGAAUACUCCUAAUGUGCGCUUUGAGUUGCUGUGCCUCUUUCUGAACAGCAAUCAGAUCCUCCCUUAAUGCUGCAUUACCCGCAACCAAUAGCCGAUUAUCUUUAGCCAGUUUGUCGAUUUCGGCAGCCUGAGCAGCAACUUUGUCCUCAAGACGAUCUGGAUGAUGAGAGGUAGGAUCCAACACCCGUAUACCACUCGGUAAUGGUCCUAAAACUCCCGCAGUUUGAACAGAACGUCCUUCUAAUGUAUGAGGACGACGCCCGCCUCCAGCCAUUAUAUAUAAAAUCUUUAGGUUAUUCAAACCCAAACCAUGGCUUAAAAUUCCAAGUUAAACCAAAAUCCUGUACAAGGACAAUUUUGGGAAUUUACUAACUCUGCCAACCUAACAUGACAAUGCAAAAGAAGCUGCAAUGGACUGGGAAAAAGAUGGAUUCUUUACCAUUAACAUGAAACCCUAAUGACAACCCACAAACAAAUUCGAGCAAUUUUCAAUCAAGCUUCAGUUGAAAACAUCAUCAACGAGCAGAAUUGACGAUGAUAACUUCGUUAUGCUCCAAUUAAAAACGUACGCAAUAAAAUAAGCUGAAAGCAGGAUUUGUUGAGAUAUUCAACACGAAAAAAGAGCAAAAUCAUGCCGUUGAAAGACGAGGAAGGAAUCUUAGGAAGGAUAAAUGAGAGAGAAAUAGAGAACCUAUGCAGUGAUUAUAUAGCUAUGGAGGAAGAACUGAGUUUUGGGGCCGGCGACGGAGACUAAUUAGGGAGGAGAACGUGGGUGGGAUCACCAGAAUUUGGUCGUCGGCGAGAUUCCAAUAAAAACAACAUCGCGAAGAAGAGAGCUCAACUCAUUGACCAACUAAAACUUAGAAGAAGAUUUGCCCGCUAGCAUAAUUCGGCCCAUGAAAAUGGCCCAAUUGGACUUCAACCAUUGGCCCAGCCAAAGACCAGGGGAAAUUACCCGUAUAAGAGAGAAAGGAAAUUAAGUUUUGGUUGAACCUUUUAUUCAAAUGUUCGGCCUAGGGGACUGGUUUAUUUUCUUCUAAUUAAUCGUUGCAAUUUGUAUGACACGCUAAGGUCAUGUUUUUAGUCAUUUUAAAAUACACCUUUUUUUGAAAUAUUUGUAUAAUUUCUAACACAUGAUUCAUAUACAUUUAUAUAAUAUUUGAAAAAAAUGCAAACGUGUAAUUGUACUCUAAUACACGAAUACAUGCCAAUCUCAGGUUUUUCGCCUUAACUAUUUGAAUUUGUACAAUUGUAACUCAUGUACGUAAUCAUAAUAGUUAGUGGGAGUCACACAUCGAGUAUAGUGGUAUAGAUGGGCUGACACUGACCAGUUGUGCAUUGGAACUGUUAGUUUGAAGUUGUGGUGUCGACUACCGUCAUCAUCAAGUUAUGUUCUGACGAGACGCGUGUUCGAUUCCAUGGCCACAGCUCAAUUCUCUAAUUUUGAUCUAAAUAACACCACUCUCACUGUUUGAUGAUAUAUACCUUCUACAGUCGGCACGCAAUAUGAAAGCAGCAUACGUUCCUUCCCCACCACCCUUCGACAUAAUAAUAAAUUCGCUCAAUCAUGUGCAUCUGCUGCGCAUACCCACUCUCUAUAUCUCUCACUUGGGUAACUUCAUCUCCAACUCGAUUCUUACCCACUCCACUGCCCAUUGCAUUCUCAUUCCAAAUCGCUAGCUAGAGAAAUGCCUUUUAGAUUAAAUUCAGAAAGGCUGCACAAAUGUUAGUCAUUCAAAAGUCAAAUUUUAAUCUUUAUUUUUAAUUAAUUCCACAUAUUGAGCCACUCAGAUAAGAUAAACUUCCAUUAUCAUGAUAACCCUGUAGGAAUCACAAAUCAGACUCCACUUUCCGUGGUCACAAACGGAGAUUUAUCCUCCAGUCGGCACCACUAUUUGUUGUCCAACAUUUUCAGGAGUUUAAUUAACAAAUUAUUCUUGAAUUAAUUAAUUAACUUGAUCAAUGGCCACACAAUUAUUUUACUAUUGCAGUUUUUGCACAACCAGUACCACACAGACGUCCCACUAUAACUAAUCCGUUCAAAGAAUUUUUUUUCAUGAUUUUCUUAUUCUAAUUACACUUAUGUAAUUGUGCUUUACUAACAUACAAAUAGCGCAAUGCUCUGCUUCUUAACAAUUCCUGAUACAGCUGUUAAAAAACGGGCAACAAUAUCAAGUAAGAAUGGAACGAAUGUGAUAUGAUGUUUUUUACGUAGAAAAUUCAAAUUGGGAGAAUUAUGGAAUUGUAGUCUAAACAACAACUCAACUAUAUUUCGAUGGGAUUACAAGUCCUUUAUAGGCUAGCUACAGAGCUCUAACAUCUCCCGGGAUUCGAUCCGAAGGACUGAUGGUGAUCUGGUCAGAGUUGGUAGAUGGAUAAUGUCUAUCGAGAGACCGAUGUGUUAGGGGAGGUUGUAGGGUUAUCUCACAUCGGAAAGUGAAAGAGAUUGAGUACUAUUUAUAAUAGUGUGAGGAAAAGCCUCCUCACCCCUUGAGUUAACUUUUGAAGUGCAAAGUCUCAAUAACAUCCAACAAUAGUAUCAGAGUUCAGGUUAACAACUCUUCCCGAAAUUCGAUCUGAAGGAUCGAUGAUGAUCAGGUCAGAGCCAGUAGAUGAGUAAUGCAUACCAAAAAACCGAUAUGUAAAGGGAAAAUUAUUGGAUUAUCCCUAUCAGAAAAUAGAAUGGGCUGAAUAUUAUUUAUAAGUAUAAUAAAAAAAUUCAUCCCUUGAACUAACUUUUGGAGAUAAAAAGACCAAAUAACACCUCACGGAUAAUCCUACCGAUUUUUAAUCCGAAUUUCACCAUUUUCUUUCUACUAUGUUCAACUGUAGUUUUGGGGUUGUUCAACUUUCUCUAUGACAUUUUAUUAUUUUCAUAAACAUUUUAUCACCACGAAGAUGAAAUUGAUAUUUGCAAAUCUACAUAACUCGUUGCUAAUUUUUCAUAUACUCAAAUACUUUGAGUAUAAUAUUUUGUAUUAAAUUGUCCAUUGCAAUUCGUUUUCUAGCCAAGACAGGAACAUAAUAUUUCUCACCUCUAUAUCAUAACUUAUAAUUAGGUAAAUAAAUGUGUCUGAAUUAUCAUAAUCUUAGUUUGCUACUCACACUAAAUAAUGUGAACCAAAUGUUUAAAAAAUGACUCAUCAACGAAGUUAUGUUUUUAUUUUUUACAUAUGAGAAAAUUAAGAUAGCAAGCUAAAUAAAAUAUCUAUUUAAUCCGUUAGAUUAUUCUCAACAUGUAUGAAAAAAUACGUAAAAGUUUUAAUUAUAACAUUAUAAACAGCUCUGUUAGCACGCCAUCAUAACACAUCAAAGCAAGUAUAUCUAGGACACACUGCUAAAUUCGCCAAAAACCAUUGUGAUAAUGAUAUAACUUGUACCAUUUUCAAGACCAAAAAGUACAAAUGUACCUUGAUAUGCUUUAGCAAUCUAAUAGAGAAAGUAGAUCUUCCACAUUCUCACGCAUUACCACUCGGUCAGUCAGUAACACUUCCUUCUCUAAUCCGGUAGUCAAAUGGAUAUCAAGAAGCACCAUAGAUUGGUACAGCGGGUGAACCAUUCCACCUCUCAACCCUAAUUAUAUUGCUUACAUGUUGUGUUUUCAAAUUGUAUAUCAUUCAUAAAAAAUUUCAAAAUUUAGAGAUCUUAAUCAUCAAUAUUUACAUAAAUCAUAACUAAUUUUGGUGUUGGUUUUAUAUUUUAACUAGUAACCUAAGAGUCCUUCGUUAUCAAAUCACAAAACACACAUGUAGCUCAUGAAAUUGUAAACUCUAAUAUAUCAUCCUAACAUAUUUAUCUAUCAAAUACGUUAGGAUGUUGAAUGUUGCCAGACAUUUCCCACUAAUGGCAAAGCCUGAAAUCCAUGCGCAUUGCCCACCACUACUAUGUGCCCCAAAAAAGCAAAAUACCAAGAUCAAAAGUGAUCUCUACACGCUUGCGGCCACUUUACUGUACCCACUCUAUACAUAUUGGACCAAAUUUUUACCACAUCUAGCACUUAUAAAUACGAGCUCUGCCUCUCCAUAUCUCUCUCAAACUGAAACCACUUCUCUUGCAACGUUAACAUUGUCAUUUUAGGAGAUUGUGAUCCAAACAUGUCCAACUUGAAGUGUUUAGCCCUUUUGGGCUUGCUUGUUUCGAGCUUAUUUGUGGGGAGCACUGAGAGCCGCCCAGCAAGGAAAGACUUGGGUUUGGACCUUGGUGGGAUAGGACUUGGAGUUGGGUUAGGGAUUGGGCUCGGUGGUAGUGGGUCGGGUUCUGGAGCUGGAGCGGGAUCAAGUGGUGGGUCAUCGUCAAGUUCAAGUAGUUCAUCUUCAUCGUCUAGUUCCGGGUCUGGUGGUGGUGGUUCAAGUGUUGGGUCUGAAGCCGGUUCGUCUGCAGGAUCCAGAGCAGGUUCUGGAGCCGGGUCUAGAGGAGGUGGUGGCGGUGGAGGGUCUGGAGGCGGAGGUGGUGGUGGUGGUGGUGAAGGAUAUGGUGGCGGUGGUGGGUCUGGUCGUGGGUCAGGAUAUGGAGGAGGAUCGGGAUCGGGUAAUGGUCAUGGGAGAUGAAUAAUACUAUGACACUUAAAUGAAAGCGAUGAAUGUAUGAAUAUGAAUAAAAAAAUGUUAACGAUAAAUGUUGUGAGGGAGUCUCUUCUGUGAUGUGUUAUCUAGUACUUUGUUUUCCCAAUAACUUGUGUCAAAAUGUUAUUGUUAGUACUUUUGAUGUUUUGUUCCUUUCUUACGAAAUAUGUUAUAUUUAGCUUGUUUGUCUUUGUAAUGUCAUCCCUCACUUUAAUGGGCACAAAUGGACCUUGUUUGGCUUUCUUAAAAGUUUGUCUUAGGGUUUCAUGGCGUAUUAUUAUGUAGUGUUAUUAACAAAGUAGGGGUGCGAAGGGUUCGGUCGCAUUACGCCGUAAUUUUUUUUAUUGAAUAUAUUUGUCAUUUCAAAUCCAAAUUUUCUAGCAAUUUUCGAGAACCCUUCCAACUAACUAUGAUUUUGGAUUAGACUUUAAAUCGCCGUAAACUCGCUUAUGAUGAUUUAAAAUCCAUUCCCACACUAAAAAAAUAAAAUAAGUGUAAGCCCAUUACAAAUUCCCACCAAAUCAAAAAUUCAAACGCCCUCUAGAUUAAAUUAUCCUGUUGAUGUGGGCUGAUUCAUUUCGUUUAUUGUCCAGUUGUGGUGUUUGGGAGAUGGCUGCCAAGAUUACAUGGAUAUUGUUUGUUUAAAAUGCGAGUGAACUUAAUAAACCAUAGGUACUCUGUGUUGAAAAUGUGAGUGAAGUUAAUACAUUCAUCACUUCAUUAGUGAAAAACCAAAACAUCACCCAUCAUUUACUAGUUAUUUGAUCGUAUAACUUGUUAUAAAAAAACUACAAUUAGUUACAAACAAAUGUAAUUAGUAUUGACACAAUAUAAAUAGUUAUACCAGUGACAAACCAUUAUAACUAGUUAUGAAAUUUGUUCGGAUUCUUUUUGGAGUCUCGCCAACAAUUAUAACUAGUUAAUAGUCGUGUAACUAGUUACAAAUGAUUCUAACUAAUUAUGAAAGGUAGUUGAACCCUUGACAAAGGAGUCUUGCCGUUGAUUAUAAUUAGUUAUUAAAUUGUGUAACUAGUUAUAUACCCCUAUAACUAGUUACGAAAGGUAGUUGGACCCUUGACAAAGGAGUCUUGCCGGUGAUUAUAAUUAGUUAUUAAAUUGUGUAACUAAUUAUAUACCCCUAUAACUAGUUAUGGAAAUUGGGAAACGGUAUUCGGGAUUUCACGGUCUCGUUCCCGUAUUAUUGGAAAUUUUUCGGGAAUUUCCGUCCCAUUCCCAUUACUAGACUUAAAAUUUGGGUUUGGUUCGGGUAAUAAACUUUCGGGUUUGAUAUUUAUCACUUAUGAGAUUUUAUAUUUAUACNNNNNNNNNNNNNNNNNNNNNNNNNNNNNNNNNNNNNAUCAAAUAAUUCAUUAAUUUAUUUCAAAAUACAACAUAUUAAAAAUAUCUCAUCCAAACUAUUCGUAAAAACUCAAACCAGAUUUAUUCAAAUUAACUGCAUGUCUCCCUUCUGACUUUUGAGUCAACUAUCAAAAACAUUUUGAUAAUUAUUUAUUUAUCACUAUUUUUAUGAUAGCACGAUCCAUGCACAUGUAAUACAGUUGUCAAUGUGUGUUUCCGGCAAAAUUUUCUUAUUUCAGUCGGCAAUUUUGUAUACCGUUUAAACGUAUAUAAUAAAUAAGAUUCUAGUUAAUCGAUUCUGCUGGAUCUCGCAGCUAGACUAGAUCAUCAAUACUAUAACCUAACGAAACUUUGACAAUUGGCCAUUUCAAGGUAUUAUGAACUCAACCGCUAAUAAUUUAUUUUCGAGGGGAAAUAUUUUUUUGAUCGUCAACUUUCAUUAAUGCUAGCAGAAUACUUUAUUUUGAUUCAAACAUUAAUAAAUCAAAAUGGGAAGUGCCUAUUCCACACACAUGACUAUAUACUAAAAUUACGAAUUGACUUUAUUUCGUUCUCCCGACAUAACAAAUUAACAAAAAAAUCAAAAAACACAUGACAAACUACACCUCAAAAGACCUGCAACUAACGCCAAAAGAACUACUCAACAUCAAGACUCCAAAAACAAACGCCAAAAAGCACAAAAACAUCAAAAUAAAUACUCCAAACUAUGAAAAGACACCGUCGAUAGGACCUCAUAGUUUAUACGAGAGUUGUCAAUUUUUCAGCAAAGUUGGUUAUCGAAUUAUGUCGAUGAGUAAGUCGCCUUGAGCUGAUCUACAUGUACUCCGGAUGUUAAGCCAAAACCGGUUUUCUUUGGUGUCUCCAACAUCAUCUCCUUCUCGUUGCCCGCCGUCAACACCCCUCGUUCCAGAGAAGUUGAGCCCUAAAUAUAUUUAGACGUUGAAAUGGAAUGGAAGCUUCGUGUUAAAGAAAAGGAACCCAAUUAUUUAUUUAUUUGUAUAGGAGCAUUAUGGCUCCUCCCACUAAGCUAGCUAGCAUAGCAUAGCAUGGCACCCAUGUUCUCUAAUUAAUAAUUUGGUCUUCUUAUAUCUGCUGUUUAAUAACAAAACGUUACUCCACUCCAUGUACCUAUCAUCACUCUCCUUCCAUAAAUUACAAAAUAAUUUAUAAAUCCAUUGAUUUGGGUUCCACUACUCCAAGUUCACGAAGCUUCCACACAUUACAACUUUGACUGACAAAUGGGUAAGUUGUCGAAAUCUUCCCUUUAAGUUUGACCAAAUUACAAAUUCGUUCGUUAUAUUAAAAUUUUAAAAUAAUCGCGCCGUCUCUUUCGUUAUUGGUAUCGAACUAUUGUGUUUUUCCGUCAGUCUCCAUCUAAAUGACGACUAAAUUUGCUGAGAUGACACUUUCACGUCAGCUCUAACCAAACCAACAAUAACACUAAAUUUCGUCGAACCCAGACCAUCCACAACAUAAAAAAACAUAAAUUCCCAAUUUUUAGACCUAAUGAGUUAUGAUUGCUAUCAAUAGCAAAUGCUAAUCGCACCCAUUAUAAUAAAUCACGAAUCACUAAACAAUAAUAUUGACCACGACAUCUAAACAACUUCCAAUUGUACUUUUUUUUAUCAAUGAAACAACUUCCACUUGUCACAAAUUCCAAACGUUGUAGCACAUCUAUCAAACUUGCAUUUAUCAUAAGUUCAUAAACCAAUCAUUCUUUUUAGAGAAAAUACACAUUUAUCUCCUUAUAUACUAUGCAAAAUACAUAUGAACGCCCUUUAUUAUAUUUUAACCGACUGAACUUUGACAAUGUUUACAAUAGGCCUUUCGAUUAUAUUUCCAUUAAAUAUGCUGACGUGACACACCAACUCAGAUUUCAAGCAGGUGUUGGAUGCUGACCUGACUGUAAUAUUUCACUAAUAGCAUGUUUGACGAGUGGAAUAUAAAAUGGAAUUUUGAUAGGAAUGAGAAAGUUAGCUCUCAAGAUGCACUUCGUUGAAAUUUAAGUUAUUUUCCGCUCGAAUGGAAAAAUGCUCAAAAUUUCAUCCCACAAUUAGAAACUAGAUGGAUUAAGAUGUAAUAAAAAGAUGUCGAUGUAAUAUGGUACAAAAGGAUGUAAAUGUUUGUUUUCCCAUUCUUUUCAAAUCAAACAAUUUCACCGCUACAGUUAGUUAUUAUUAAUUAUUUAACGCGUUAACGUGUUAUCAGUUGGCGCCUUCCCACUCUCUGCUAUAUAUUUCCCCUUCUCUUCUUUCCUUCCUUUAGCAGGUGAAGAAAAAUUAAACACGAUCAUCAAAUUUUUUCUUCACCUCUCAAAUCAUAGAAGAAAAAUUCCGCCAUAGUUUCCUUUGCAUUUGCUUAGCUCAAAGCCUCAAACUUUCCCUUCAUCUAAUCCGGCCGCCGGCGGCAUCGACGGGGAGAAACAAGAAGAAAUUUCAGAUCUAUAAAAGCUAGAGAUGCCAUCGUUAGAGGAGGAGCUUUUCCCAUCUACUCCGGGAAAAUUCAAGAUCGACCACCACCGUAGCCACCGCCAAUUCCAUCGAUGCUUCUCCUCCACCAGCACGAUGUUCCUCUGGGCUCUGUUCCUCAUCGCCCUAACAGCAUCCUAUCUUAGCUUCCAGAGCUUCGUCGAUUCGGGAAGCCGCUACUUCUCCGCCUCCUGGGGCGGAAUCCAGUGGGAGAAGGAGGUUCGUAACUCCGCCCGGAUCCACCGGUCCGGCGGGAUGUCGGUGCUCGUCACCGGCGCCGCCGGAUUCGUCGGCACUCACGUCUCCUUAGCGUUGAAAAAGAGAGGAGACGGCGUGGUAGGGAUUGACAAUUUUAACAAUUACUACGACCCGUCUUUGAAAAAAGCCCGUAAAUCGAUGGUGGAAGCCCAAGGAAUUUUCAUUGUCACCGGAGAUAUAAACGACGCCAAGCUGCUGAAAAAGAUGUUCGACGUCGUUCCGUUCACCCACGUGAUGCACCUGGCAGCGCAGGCCGGUGUUCGUUACGCGAUGGAGAAUCCUCAUUCUUAUGUGCAUUCCAACAUCGCCGGAUUGGUAACGCUCCUCGAGAUCUGCAAAUCAGCCGAUCCCCAGCCUGCUAUCGUAUGGGCAUCGUCCAGCUCCGUUUACGGGCUCAACGAGAAGGUACCCUUUUCGGAAUCGGACCGGACCGAUCAGCCGGCGAGUCUGUACGCUGCGACCAAGAAGGCCGGUGAGGAAAUUACUCAUACUUAUAAUCACAUUUACGGGCUGUCGAUUACGGGGUUAAGAUUCUUCACGGUUUACGGGCCGUGGGGUCGACCGGACAUGGCGUACUUCUCGUUUACGAGGAAUAUUUUGCAAGGGAAGCCGAUUACGGUUUACCGGGGGAAGAACCGGGUCGAUUUGGCCCGGGAUUUCACCUACAUUGACGAUAUUGUGAAGGGGUGUUUGGGUUCGUUGGAUACUUCAGGGAAGAGUACCGGUUCCGGCGGGAAGAAGACUGGUCCGGCGAAGUAUCGGAUUUUCAAUUUGGGGAAUACGUCGCCGGUGACGGUGCCGAAUUUGGUGGGGAUAUUGGAGAGGCAUUUGAAGGUGAAGGCGAAGAAGAAGCUUGUGGAUAUGCCUGGAAAUGGCGGCGUUUCCUUUAACUCAGCCCAUACCAGUCAAUACUAGUUAUGCAAGAAGGGAGUUCGGUUAUAAACCGACCACUGAUUUGCAAACCGGGUUGAAGAAGUUUGUCAAGUGGUAUCUUUCCUACUACGGCUAUAAUAACGGGAAAUCUGUAAAUUAAUUAAAAACAGGAUUUGGGGUCUUUUUUUUCUUUUUUAUUGUUGUACUUUUUGAUGAACAAAAAAAACAGAUGAAAGAAGAAGGGAUUGACUGUCAAAUGUGAAGAAUAUCUCAAUUCUGCAAUGAUUUUACAGUUGGCUCAUUGUUACCAGCUUUCAUGAACUUGACUAAGCUACAAUGGUGAAAAGAGAAAAAUAGUGACCACGUACAGCUCACAGGUAUUGAUGCAACUUCAAUAUCAAAAUUAAGCUCUUUAUGAAAUCAAGUUUCACUUGCACCUUUAAAUAGCUAGUUGGCUUUCCUUCUGGAUGCUACUUCCUUGGCCCAAGCUUUGCCUACAUCUGUCUGGAAUUUCCCUGCAAAUUACAUACAAAUGUAACCAAACAUCGAAUUUGAUUAGCCCUUGUGGGUUAAUAAUAGUUAGAUGCAUACGAACUGAAAGGAAGCAACUUUGCACAUACCAGCAGUGGACUGGAAGAACUCCUCCAAAUCUUUCCCUUGUUCUGCAUUAACCAGAUAAACCAGUCCAACUUUCAGUAAAACAGCUGAGAUCAGCUUCUUUAAGCAACUAAUAUGGCUGUUAAUGGCCAAUCAGGCAGAUUGUAGGAAGAAAAUACUCACCAUUUUCAUAUUCUAGAGCCUGAAGAAUCAUCUCCACCUAGAAAUGAACAAAAACAUGAAUACAAAACAUAAACAGUAAGUUAUACGUGAUAUUGACACUAUGUUUGGAUGUCUAUACAUGCCCAUUAAUAACCCUUUCACUAACUUAUCAUCAUCAAUAUAUAUCGCAUACACACAGAUGAAAAGAAGAAGUACCUUGUCAAAGUCCUUUACUAAUUUGGCUUCUGGAGAAGAAUUAUCCUCAUACUCUUUCCACAACUGCUCUAUCUCUUUAGCUACAAAAAAUGCAUAAGAAAACCCCCUCCAACCCAUAAAAGUUCCAUCUAGACACAGAAUGAACAAUCAAAGCAAAGGGAUUUGAUUAUACCUCUUGAUCCUCCACCUAACAACUUGCACAUAUGAUCCAAUGCUUCUGCCUCUUUUCUGCUCUUCUCCUCCUUGGGAACUCCAUCUGAUGGGGUAAUGUCACCAACUAUAGCUGGUUGAAUCCCAUUUGUACCAGAACAAUUCAUUAGUUUCUCCAGUUUCAAACCCCUAUCUGUAUAAUACUACUCAGCCUAAUCUUGACAGUAACCGACCGAAUAGCACAUAGAACAGGAAAGUUUAUUAGCUCCUCUGAUUUUGAGAAUCUUCCAUUGUUGAUACUACUUAGUCUAAUAAUGAACAGCACAUUGGAGAAGAAAAGUCAUUAUGAAAAAAACAAUGCUAGGGAUCAUCUUGCUCAGCCCUUAAUACCUUCCCAAUAGGCUAACAAAAUCAACAAGAUCAUAUCACAAUUCAGUAUGCUUUAUCAACGAUUUCUGAUGAUUUCCUACACAUGAACAUAUUAAAAAAGGACAUACCUUCAGCUAUGUCAUGAACAAUUGCCAUCUUCACACACCUGAAAGAAUCAACGAAAAACCAUACAUUUAACACGCAGCAUUACAGCUAGUAACCGAUCGAGAUUGAAAUCAAGAAAAAGGAAAAAUCCUAACUUGUCACGAUCGAUGCCAGGAAUAUCCGGCAAAAUCAAACCCAUCAAUCCCAUUCUGUACAUAUGAUCCGCUAUCGAUUCCGGAUCCCUAACAUCCCUCUUCACCCAUCCAGCCCUCUUCGUGGUCUGACAAUGACAAUUUACGAUAAAAACCAACAAUCAAAGCAGGAAAUCUACUAACUAGUAGAGCUAAAUGGGAGAACUGGGUUUUGCUUUACCUUGAGGCGGUGGCAGAGUGAGAGGAAAUCAAUGGCGGACGAAGGGGAUGCGGCGGCGUUGGCGGCGUCGGAUGGAGAAGACUCGGCGGCUGCCAUGCGGUGGUGACUGGAGUGAGAUGAGGAAGAUGAAGCGGGGAACGAGUUGAACCGGAAGCGGGCCGUGGGAGCAGAGAAGGAGGAGGAAGAGGAUGAGGUGAGGAAGAGGAGUGAGCUCGAUUUACAGAGCACUGCCGCUCGAGUUGCUAUGAUCCUCAUUUUCCCUUCUUUUUUCGGAUAGUUUACUUGUUUUGCUAGUGAAAUACUUCAAUUACAAAUGGUAUCUUACUAUCUUGGAGUUAUUCUCUUUUUUUAUUCCUACGUUUGGAAUUAUCACUUACUCUCCGAUGGAUCAUGGCACCAAAUUCUGAGAAAAUUUAUGCGACCGUUUAAAUAGAGUUCUGGUUAAUGUUAAUAGCAAUUUAUAUUUUCCGACUCCACGAUUCAUUAUCGCUCUCUUUUCUUUGUGUUCCACUGUCUUGUCCUUUCCGAUUCUUCACUCCUUGGCCUCCCAUGACAAUUUUUUCAUCUUUUAUGGCAGAAGAAAUCUUACAUCAAAUCCAUCUUUAAAGAUUUUUUAUUAAUAAAAUAACUUCGAGAUUACAUAAUAUUAGGAGUUAUUUUAAGAAACCGUAAAUACAAAAUAUUGUUACACUUGAGCUGGUUUAUUAGAAAGAAAAGGUUCUUCCAAAUCAGUUGCAGGUUUCUUAUCUUUUUCACUUUGGUUCUCCUUCAUGUAAUCAUUGGCUUUCCCCCACAAUACUAGGUACAAACCCGUUAUCACCAUCGCAGCUCCGAUCAGCCUAUACAACAACAAACUAUGAACGAUAAGAAAUCCAACAAGGCAACGAAGAGGGAUGGGAGAAUGGAUCACUUACCCUCCCAUGUAAGUUUUUUCGUGAAGAAAAAUGGAAGCCGAGAUUGUAGUAAUGACUGUGCAAAGUGGGUCGAAAAUUGCAGGGAAUACUGGGCCUCUCUCACCAACACACCAGGUCUGGCCCAAGACGGUCAGAACCAAGAUUACUCCCUACAAAAAAUUAUUAUAAUAAACACAUCGACCUGCUUCAGUUGAUUCUGAUUAAUUGGCAAUUAAUUUACAAGACGACAUUGUGUCAAUUGAUUUAUUGGUUAACCUAUUUUAUAUACCAUUUUAAUUAAUACACUUGAGUGUAGAUUAUUAACUGCCCCAAUACAUUUCCACCCUUAUAAGUAUUUCUAUUUCAAACUUCCGACACUCAAUAAAUUUUAACUCUUUCAACCUAUUACUCAUUAAGUUUAGAGCUGGAAAUUGGGAAACGAAAUUCGGGAUUUCCCGUUCCCGUUUCCAUAUUAUCGAAAGAAAUUCGUUUGUUCUCAUUCUCAUUACCAAACUUCAAAUUCAGAUUCGGUUUGGGAAAUUGUAUUUCGGGUUUGGUUUUUUUGCUUCGGUUCCGGGAUUUCCAAAAUCCCAAAGUUUAUUUCACUUACCCAUUUUGUCAUUUAGAUAUUUACUCCAAAAAAUUAUUUCAUUUAGUCCAUAGAGGCACAAAAAAACAGAAAUUUCGGAAAAAACGUAAUUCAAGACCCCAAAUCCUGAAUUUAAAUUUCCGUCCCGAACCAAAUUUCAAAUAUUCAAGAUUCGUGAAUUCAGAAUUUUGAGAUUUCACAAAUUUGAAAACGGGGUCCCAUUCCCAUCCCAAUUUCCUGCCCUAAUUGAGUCUAAACCAUGAUCUCUUUAGCCCAGCCAUCUCACUAUUAUGAAUUAUAUUUGCUACUCAGUCAAGCAAUGAUGUUCAUAUCCAUUUUGAAUGCUUGUAUAAACAUUUUUUUAUCAUUCCAUAAAACUCAUCUUUAAAUCUUUUUCAUUAGAACCAUGUUGUGUUCGGCCGUUAACUAUAAGAGAUAUUAUAACAUGGUAAGAAAUGGUAUAUUGGCCCAAAAAAGUUGUAAGACUUCUGAGCUUACACUGUAGAGGCAGCAACCAAGUUCAAAGAUGGAAUUGAGUUUCCAAGCUGAAAAAUCCUUCUCUAAGAACAAAGCUACCAUUAUUGAUUGUAAUGUGGCUAGUAAGCAACACCAAGCUGAUGAAUAUAUGAUAUCAGGACAUGUUGCAGUAAUUGGAACCUACCAAGCACAUAAUUCACAAUAUUAUUUCAAUUGAAAUAGAACUUUACAGUCUUGGCUAUCACAAUUUCUGACUGAUUACCUGCAGGAUUAUCCACAAGGACCAUAAGAAGCUGCUUGCAAGCAGAAGAAGACAACCCAGUAGCCAAUUGUUAUCAUCAGAUUCAGACCCCAAAAGCUGAGAGUUUAGAAGCUUAGAGCCUUUCAGAAAAGCUAUGGCCAUGGCUCCAACUACACAGAUUACAGUUCCCACAAUUUUUGCACCACUCCUCAGGCUUCUAUUGUCAACUUUCUCCAUACUUUGAUCAAAACCAAAAAUCUCAGAUAUAUUAACAUGUAGCAAACUGAUUACCAUUUGCUAUGAGUAAAACAAGGAUAUAAUGGGUUCCAUCGAAUUCUCACCCAAAAAUUGCAGCAAGCACAAAUGUGACUGCUGGAAUGAGAUUAAUAAUUGCAUUUGCAGCAGUGGUAGAAGCCAAGUUCAUGCCUUGGAAAUAUGUAUUCUGAUUGGCUGUCACCCUGCACCAACAUGUUCAUUUAUAUCUCGAGAUCUUACCGGUGAGCCAAAUGAUCCAACACUCUUUUGUUAAUGAAUAAUAUAAAAGUCAAUAUGAACUUCUCCUAACUAUUCGAGCUAUUAGGAAGUGAAGGUUCAUGAUAUGAUAUCAAAAGCCUUUAAAGAUCGAGAGGUCUCCAUUUCAAAAUUCUGUAGCCCCCAAUAUGUACGUGCACAUGACUUAGUGAAGUUGUGCAAACCUGAUCAGCUCUUCUGAGAGCUUCUAUUUGACGAAGCGCGUUAAUGAAUAAUACUCAGGUUAUUGAGAUGCAACAAAUGAUAUCGUUUACAGAGUCAAAUAACUAAAAGUAUAAGGAAUGUACCCAAAGAGAGAGGCUGCAAAUAUCCAAGAGAAGCUCUUCAAUGUCAAUGAAACUCCAGUUGGAUUCUUGCUGUUGGAGAUGAAAGCCAGAGGAAUCAUGAUCAGAGUUGCUAUGGCUUGUCUAUAAACAACAAAGACAUUGGGACUCAUCCCACCCAUAAAAGCUCCCUUUGUGAAGAGUGCAAGCCCAGCAUAACUAAACUCCAACGCUAUCAUGAUCAUCUCUGGCUUGUAAGAACUCAUUUCUGAUCUAUUUCUUGAUAUCAAUAUUAUGAUUAUUUCUGCAGGUUUUUGGAUUUCAGGCUAAACUUCUUUUAUAAUGUGACUGAUAAUAAUAGAGCUAGUUGGGGAUCGCUUUUCACUGUUACAAAAUGAUUCAAUAUGUGGUCUCUUGUGUUUUAUUAUGUUCAGAGAAGAUAAACGAACAAAGUGAAAUCAUAUGUUUGUUUGUUGUUAAAUGAGGAAAUGAGGAAAUGAGGUUACAAAGUGAAAUGUUAUUUGAAAUAGUUAGUUAGGGCUAAAUUCCAGAUAAGAGCCAAUCGUUUAGAGAUUGAACGUCAAAAGGCUGACUUCAUAUGUAGUGAUAGUUUUUUCCUAAUAGGCCCUAACGAUACGUUGGUCACUCGGCACAACUCUAGAGCGACCAUGUCUAGAAGGAUAUCAGGUUUAUCUAAGAUCGCUUAUGUUCAUACAAGUUAGUUCAAUUGUCAUGAUCACUUUGAUGAGAUCGACUGUCAUGAUGAAAUCACACCAGCUUUGUAUAAACUAAAAUACUGCUCUGCUACCACAUUAGAAAACUGACUUUCACAAUUGCAGAGCGAACAUUCCUUUCAAUACGUAUUAUUUGUCAACUUCCCUUCGAUCUCUACUCUCUCGAGCUCCUACUCUUAUGUCACUACUAGACUUAAUUUUAUUGCGGUGAAUCCAUACAAUACAAGUGUUGGAUCAAUCGAAGACUACACUACCAAUUUCAACAACCAAAUGCCCAACACCUUCAUUGUCCACCCCAAGCGACAGAGGUCGAAUAAAUGAGUGUUACUAUUGAAAAAUUAAAUGGCUUCAUGUACAAGAAAAUAUGAAAUUCACCAUUACUUAUUUUUUAAUAACCAUACCAAUAUUAUUAGGAGUAAUUUUUUUUAAGAAAAAAUGAAAGACAUGAAAAUGAAUGUCAUGAACUGUAGUGUGGGAUCAAAAGGUCAAUUGGAAAGCUGAAGAGUAUCAUAAAUUAUGGAACAAAGAUAAUAAGUAAAAUAAUUAAUGGUGCAUGAUUAAAGAAAAAGGGGCGAUAGCUGAAAUAAUAAUAAUAAUAAUAAUAAUAAUAAAAAUAAUAAUAAUAAUAAUGGUCCAACACCAUACUUUUUAAUCCGCAGUAUUACUGUCUUAGUAGGGUUCCAUUCAAUUUCUCCAAGGAUAGCAAUCUCGAGUGGGAGCACAAAUAAUCAGGCGGACUACUUGCCAAUCAACAGGGGCAUCAAUCUUUAGUUACUGAAAGCAUUGGGGUUGGUGGUUAGUUCGUAAUGCGGAUGUAAUGCCCCGCUUUCGGGUUAGUGUGGUUAUUAGACAAGUAUGAUUAUGCAUGAGCAGUACUGAACCAUGGUUUAAAGAAGUUCAUUGGUUGACUAGGUAAUGGCCGUCGACCAAGGAAACAACAUUAACACCCUUGGACUAAUUAACGGGCAUUGUGCACAUGCCGGGUUUGGUUCGUUUUCAAAAUAUUGAAGUAACGUUCAAACCGCUGUUUACUCAUAACCGAUUGGUAAAUUGCAAAUCAGUAGUUUAACUAGCUAUGCCGGCCGGUUUGUUGUUGUUGCUACAUAAUUAUGUGAUGUCGGAUCGGCCGAGUGAUCGGUUUGCAAUCAGACCGGUUGAACCGUCCAAUUCGAUACGGUUUUUAAAACACUGGCACAAAGCAAAUAUCACAACCCCUAAUAUUUUGUUCCUCGUGUUCUCUCAACAGACGCAACUCUCUUCAAUCCAAAUGGUGAGUCAACUCCCUUCGAUCAUCCUGAGACUUCAAGGUAAACGUAAGGAGCAAUUAUAACUAGUUAUAAUCAACUAGUUGAGUAUAGCCGCUACUAGGCUAGUAAAGCCUAGAGCUUGAUAGUAUCGGUAGCCCAACCCGAAUUCUGGCUAAACUCUUUUAUAAUGUGACUGUCUUGGGCAGACUGGGAAAAAUGGAGCUAGUUGGAGGUUGCUUUUCUCUAUUAGAAUAAACGGUGUAUGCGUCUACUCAGUAUACUAUUUCAUAUUUUCAACAUGUCUUUUGCUUAAUAUUAAAUAAAAUUAAUUCAUAAAAUAUUAAAUAUUUAGAUGUUUUUAGCUUAGGCUUUAGAGUUAAAGGAUGCAAUAUUAGGGAUUUAGAAUGUGUUUCUUAGCUUUAUAAUUUAUUGAUAUGGAUCUAAGAUUAAAAGUUACUGUCUUGAACAUGAUUUUAGAAUUUAGAUUAUAAUAUAAUGUUUGAAGGUUAUGAUUUAGUGUUUAGGAUGUUUAUAUUAUUGUUUAAUAUGAUUAUGCGGCGACCUCCCAACGAGACCUAAAAUGGAUACCUAGUGACAUGCCGACCUCACUACAAGGAGAAUCAAAAGCCUCGUGAUAGGGGAAUCAAAAGCCUACGCUAUGGUCCAAACCUUUUCUACUAAUGUGUUCAAUAUCCCAAAACUGCCACUAAAAUAAUAAUGUUUACACUUCUGUUGGUUUAUGAUCAGGAAGAAAAGGUUGUUCCAGAUCUGCUGUAGCCAUUUUCUCCUUGUCGAUUUUAGUCUGUUCCUCCAAAUCCUUUGCUUUCCCCCAGAGCACCAUAUAGAGCCCUAUUAUCACCGCUAGACCUCCGAUCAACCCUCCCAAGUAAGUUUGUUCGUGGAGGAAAAUUGCAGCAAAGAUUGCAGUAAUGACCGCGCAAAGAGGGUUGAAAAUUGCAGGGAACACUGGGCCUCUCUCACCAACACACCAAGCUUGGCCCAAGAAAGACAGUGCCAAAGCUACUCCCUGCUUUAAACACACAUGCAAUUUGUAAGAAAAUGGCAUAUUGUGGGAAAGUUGGAGCAAAAAGAAAUGAUGAAAAGAGAAUUUAGAUCUUACCCCAUACAAACAACAACCGAAUUCAAAGACGGAAUCGAGUUUCCAAGCCGAGUAAUCCUUCUCCAGGAACAAAGCUACUGUCAUUGAUUGUAUGGUAGCCAGGAAGCACAACCAUGCUGAUGAGUAUAUCAGAUCAGGGCAUGUUGCCGCUAUUGGAACCUGUCCGUAACAAAUUUUAAAGUUCAAAAGGGUCGAGUAUACUGAUCGAUCGAGUCCGGAUUUCAAGCUAGAGAAUAGCUUCUGGAUCUGAUCCAUAAGGCCCACACAAAUUUCAGCCGUUUAAAAACUGGUCCUAGAUCUAACGGCUGAAAACAUGGGGCACAAUUGACUUUUCACAUCUAUAUAAAUGUGCAUACUAAGUACCAUACUAAGUACCAUACUAAGUACUGUACUUAGUAUUAGUAUCAUACUAAGUACCAUACUAAGUAUUAUACUUAGUAUGAUACUUAGUAUAGUACUUAGUGCAAUACUUUGUAUGUACUUAGUAUGACGCUUAGUACAAAAGCCGUACAAAUGUGUAUACCCUUUUGGUCAAAACCUAUACAUAUUUGUACGAUCCGUACAACUCUCCGCACAAAGUUGUACGGCUGAUCGUCGGAAAAUAUUUCUAAAACAAUAAAGGUUUUCAGAAACGUUGAGCUGAUGACCGUGAUCACGUGGGUACAUAAAUUUUCAUCAACACAAGUCGGAAUCGUCAAAAAAUUGAUCGUCAAAUUUUGGUCCAACACAAACAUUAAAAAAUAUGACCAUAUUUCCCUUGACUAAUCUUCACCAUCAUAUCAUGUGGAGAUUCAAGUGUCCAUAUUGGUCAUGCGUCGGAUCUAAAAACCAAUGUCAUUGGCUCCAGAAUCGGACUCUGAUUGAUCAUUGAAUUACAAAUGUUUUGGUUCGAAUUACCUGAAGAAUUAUCCACAAGGACCAGAAGAAGCUGCUCGCAAACAGGAGGAGACAACCCAUGACCCAAUUUCUGUCAUCUUCUUCCGAGCCAAGGAUGAAACCGUAAUUUAAGAGCUUUGGUCCCUUUAGGAAAGCCACUGCCAUGGCUCCAACUACACAGACGACAGUCCCUACAAUCUUGGCACCACUCCUCAGGCUUCUAAUGUUGAUUUUCUCCAUCCUGGUCAGUAAUCAAUCGACAUCUUUGAUCACAUUCUGAAUUCAAUAUAACAGGUUAUAAGAAAAGGGUUCAAUUGUUUGUGUUUGUGUCUCACCGGAAAAUGACUGCUAGUAUGAAAGUGACUGCUGGAAUGAGAUUUAUAAUUGCAGUUGCAGCAGUGGAAGAUGCUAAGUUUAUGCCUUGGAAAUAUGCAUUCUGAUUCCCUGUCACCCUGCACCAACAUGUCGAGUGAAAAAUCGUACGUACGUACUCAUCGGUUAUAUAAAGAUUCAACUGUGAAAUUUAAACUGUUAAUCAGGUUGUUUGAUUUUGUGAUUUGAAUGAAAGUUACUUCAAAUAGUAAAAUAUUUGAAAUGGAAGGAAUUUUAAAUAUGUAAGUGAACACUUCAUCAAUGGAGUUUUAGGAAAUAAAAGAGAAAUUUUAAUAUUUAUAAAUAAUUAAUAAACCUCUAAUUUAUCCAUCCUUCAAAACAUAAUAAGACAAUUUAAUCAUUUUCUACUCAAAUCAUUUGAGAUUUGACAAAUCAUUUAUUCAUGAAGUGGAUUUGAAACUGCCUCUCAAAUCACUUGGGGGCACAAAAUAAUUUCAAAUCCCCACAUUUUUUUCAUUUUCAAACUUGCUAUUUCGACAAAAUCACUCGAACUCACAAUAUCAUUAUCCAAAUCCAAAAAAAAAAACGUCUGAUUUUUACGGGAAUGUACGUACCCAAAGAGAGAGGCAGCGAAUAUCCAUGAGAAGCUCUCCAGUGUCAAUGAGACCCUAGUACUUGGGUUCUUCCUGAAUUGUUUCAAGAACACAUUGAAUUAACGAUAAGAAAACACAUAAUCCAAUUGGUGGGUAUUGGAAGUAAGUUGUUUACCUGCGUGAGAUGAAAGCUAGAGGAGCCAUGAACAAAGUAGCUACGGCUUGUCUGUAAACAACGAAGAUUUUGGGACUCAAGCCACCAAUAAAAGCUGCCUUUGUAAAGAGAGCAAGCCCAGCAUAACUAAUUUGCAAGGCAACCAUAACCAUUCCUGGCUUGGAAGAAGAACCCAUCUCCCUGCUGGUUCUUCUACUUGAUAAGAUUUAGUGAUUUAGGAAUAAACCGUAUCGAUUUCAGGGUCCAUAUAUAUAACUGAAGAUAAAAGCUGACUGUAAUCUACUGAAGGACUUAUUCGAAGAGAUAUGCUCUGGCACACCGAUAUGGCAAUAUUUGUUUAUAGUAAGCUGUUCGAUAGUAAAGGUUUAUAUUUAAUAGAAUAUACCAAAGUUGUUCUUUUUAAAUUGUAACGCAACACUCCCAGAAGCUUCCAAUUAGCUGGUCCAACUAAUGUGAAGAUGGAGUUUAAAUUUCGAGUUAAAGAAAUGGCUUAUGAAUUUCAUUCAGGAAAAUUGAACAAAUUUCAGCGGUCCAAAAAUCAUAUCAUUGAUCCAAUGGUUGGAGACACAGGGGUGAAACUGACAUUUCACACCAAACCCUAAUAAUUGUUGUCGUCUCCAAAGCCAUACAAAUGUGUAUACUAAGUACUAUAUGAUGGUACCUCUUGAUAAAAGAAGUACUCUAGUAUGACACUUAGUAUUACACUUUGUACAAAGCCAUACAAAUGCUUAUACAAUUUUGUAUAGGUUUGUACAAAUCUAUAUAACCCUCUGUAUAAGAUUGAAUAAUCAUCAAAAAAACUACCCAGAUUAAAUGUAUUUUUCCAGUAACGUAAGACCGACGAUAGUAAUCAUGUGGGCGAAAGAAUUUUUGCCAACGAAGGUCAGUGUAACCAAAAAACUGAUUGGGAAACUUGGUGGUCUGGCCAUCGAAGAUCGUGGUUCAAUGACCGUAGCUAGUGGUCCAAUGAUCGGAAAUAGAUGGGUUAUGUGUCAAUAAAUAUUUAAAACAAUAUGACCAUAUUGCUCUUAAGUAAUCUAUACCCUUAGAUCAUGUGAAGAUCCAAUGGCCCAAAUUAUUCGUAGAUAGAUCCAGGAAGGAAAUUCCUUCACACUAGUGAAGAUGUGUCAGUCGUCCUUAUCUAGAUUCCAAAUUAUCUGAACUGUCCACCACAUCUCACAUGACUCAUGUUCAUGUUUUUUUGUCUUGUCAUAGAUGAUGACUCAUGUUCAUGUUAUCUUUACUAAUUAAAGUAAGUAGUUAUGGGUUUUCGCAUGAGGUGAUGCUUUUGGUAGUAAUUGGCUGUGCUUGACAUGCGCCGCGUCUCUCUUUAUAUCUUAUAUUCCCGCAAAUCAUUAGAAAUAAGUAUCAAAGACUAAUCAUUGAGUGCCAAUUUUGAAUGUAAAUCAUUGGAUAUAAGUAACAAUACUCAAAUUGGCCCUUUUACUUCAAUAAAUAACCAAUGACCUCUUCUAUUUGGGGUGUUCACAUUAACAGUCCCGAACUUUUCAAAUAUUUUCGUAACCAUACCAUGCCAGUUCAAUCAAAUUUUUCGGUCCAAUUCUGUUACAAUUUUUCCGUGCAUAAAUGAUGUAGAACUGAUUGAACUAAUCCAAUCAUCAAAAAGAAUAUUAUUUAAUUAAUUAAGAAAAUUAAAAAUUACAUAAAAAAAGAAAAAAUAUAUUGUUUUCCGUCGCCGUCUCCACUCUCCCUUCCUCAUCUCACAUUCUUUCGACCUCCCUCAGAGCUGGAAAUUGGAACGGAUUCCGUUCUUGAAUUUUUUAAAUUCUGAAAUCUCGAAUCUCGAAUCCUGAAUUCCUGAAUUUCAAAUUCUGUCAAAAAUUUUAAUUCAAGAUCGAGAAUUUAAAUCGAAAUUUGGGGUCCCAAAUUGAUUCUUUUUCCCGAAAUUUUUGUAUAAUUCUGAAAUUUUAGAACCUCAAUUUUAGAACUUCAAACACCAUUACAAUUACAAUUCUUCAGACACCAUUACAACUACAAUAACUCUAGAACUUCAAAACUCAGACACCGUUACACCUACAAUUUUUUUAGAGCUACAAUAAUUUUGGGAAAAAAUUUACUAAAAAAGUCCAACCUAUUCAAAAUAUACACGAUUUGACACAUAUUUUUAGAAAUACUAAAUAUGACACCAUUUUUAACGCUAUUAAUAGAAUUUGGUCAACAUUGACGUGGAUUGUUAGAGACUAGUACCUCCAUUCUAACUCUAUGUUUUUCAACCUAAAGAAAUCAGAGGAGAUGAACAGUCUCUAAAUUUCCUGCCAUGUCUGCUAAUCAAUGGAAGCUGAUCAAAAGAAAAAAGAGUUAAGAGGAGACACUAGUCUCGUCAUUACCCAGGUGGAGGUUUCUCGCCAUAUUGGAAUGUUAGAAAUGGCCUCAUGUGGAAAUCAUUCUGCCUCCACGUUAAACACUCCUCUUAAAUAACCACAUGCAGAAGGUCAUGGUUAACCUCUCGUACCAAUGUCAAGGUCUUAUGUGGUACCUACCAAUAUGGAACAGGUGGAGGUUUAGGUAUUGGGUGUAACACUACGAUUCCGAGUCAGUUUAGGUUUUGGUUGAGCCAUGAAGGAUGGAAAUCGUGGGUUGGUUGAUGUGGUUAGGGAAACGCCCGUUGGUGAGAACACAGACGUUGCCUGGACGACGGUCGUUUCUUAUAGUUGAGGCAACAAGCGUUGUGUAGAAACGACUGUUGCGUGUUUAAUUAUAUAAAUUAGAAUUAUUCGCUUGAUGCAAAAAGUUUUAAAAAAUAAGUAGAGAUAGACGAACUUUUUUUUGUUAUAGAAAAUAUAUAUAUGAAAUAAUUUUGUAAUUAGAAAAAUGAAAGGUGAGACAAUUUAAGUCAUGUAAAUUGAAGAAUGAAAAAUAAAGGAUAAUAUGUGAGCUCAAAAUAAAACUUUCAUAAACUCAAAGUAAAGCCCUCGUUAGAGAACCAAACACUAUUCAUUCAAUGGUAUAUAGUAAUUCAUUUUCUCCUUUUAUAAAUAGAGCUAGAAUUUGUGGCCGCGCGAUGCCGCGGAGGACUAAAUAGAAGUUGAUAUGAUGCUUCUUACCCGUGUGUGAAGACAAAUACUUAAAUAAUUACAAAAGUAAUGUGACGAUAAUUGGUAGAAUGGUCAAAUAUAUUGUUGUCGAGUGGUUGUAGCUCUUGCCAUUGUUCACAAAGAUGCUGAGUUCAAAACCUGAAAUGCGUGAUUAUUUCGGCUCAUGUAAUGGAAUCACUAGUCUAUCCUGAGUUGAAGGUCGACAACUAGCUCCGUAGUUUGCCUAGUGACGGGAUCACUAAUGAAAACCUUUCCAGUGACGGAAGAUAGUGGUGAAAUUAUUGAGUUAUGGGCCACAAAAUUAUUUAAAUAUUAUAUAAUUAUAUUACCAUUAAUUAAUUUAGGCCUUUAGGUCAUAUGAGGUUUUAAGAGCUCAGAUUGAUUUUGGAACAGUACGCAUUUUGACAAAAAAAAUCGGAUUUAUCUUUCCAUCUAAUUGUUGAAUCCUCGCCAAAGUUGAGAGUUCUAUAUAUAAUAAUAGAAUAAGAAUUAUUAUUACAUCAAGAAAGUAGAAUUCCCUCUAACCAAUCCUAUAUAAACAUUAUGUGUAACAGAAAAUAUCAGACUUAUAUUUACUCCAUAAAUUUAACUGUUUUGUGACUUUAUACAUUCAUUCUUUCCAUUUUAAAAUAUGCAUUAAUUUCUAACAAAAUAUAAUACACAUUAAUUAAGUAUUUAUAUUUCCAACUUUUUGUUAAUUAUUAUAUCUCAACUUUCUUAACACGUUACUCAUUAAAUCAAAAUUUUGAUAUGUCUAACCACUUAUAUCACAAUUAUAUUUGGUAAUGAACAAUAGCAAGUCAAUGAUAUCCAUAUUCAAUUUCUUUUCGGUGCUUGCUUAUGUUCUUAAAUGUUGUAUAUGCAUUUCUUUAUUAUUUGGUUGAAUUCAUUUUUAUAUUUUUUACACUAGAACCAUGUUGUUUCCCAAAGCAGAACGCGAGCUAUUUUUAGUAGUUCAUUUAUUCCUAUACUUAGAGGUUUAAUUUAAUACUUUCCAAAAUGAAAAAAAUUCCCUUUAAAUGUUGUCCAAUCCAUCAUGUAAUGUAACCAUGUUAUGGUACGAUUUCACACACAUAGGCAAGUCUGAGGAGGCAAACACAUGUGGUCUUGAUACACCAUGGCAUGCACUCCCGAUGGGGACCUAGCUAGGGGGGAACUUGUAAGGCUCUGCCACACAUCAAUGAUGCUAAUGUGGAUUGAGAGAUAACAGUUGUGGAGUUAUAUUUCAGCUGCUCGAUCGUAUCACUUGGCUGGUAAAAUUAGUUGGGAACUUAGAGGACAAAAUUGAUUGUUGCUGGGGUUUAAUAUGGUCCAUGGUUUGUGGCCAUGGAGCAGCCAUGCAUGAAUCUGACUCGAGUUUUGAUUUUUGGUACGAAACAAAAAGGCUAAGCACAACUCAGUCUAUUCCAAGUACCAAAAGCCUUGGCUGAUAACCAGAGAUUGAAAUCCUGACAAUAGUAUUUAUGAAUGUUUUCUCCGAAAUUAUUUGGUUUACUUUUACAGACUCUGUAAUGAACAAGUAGGUCGUUAAAUCUUCUACACUAGAACCUAGCCAUGGGUGGGAGCUUGGCUUUUGUUCAGUCAUCUUGUGGUUUGACUCUUUUAGAUAUGUCUGUAGAAGUUUACUAUGAUAAUUUACUACGACACUUAGAUAUGUUGUUACAAGUUUACCUUUUUGUAACAUUUUAUUUUACUUGAAACUACACAUAGCUAUAUGUCGUUAUUUUACUUGAAACUGCCAUUGUUUGAGAAUCUUGCCUAAAAUUUGAUCCGAAUAAUUGGUCUCUCAAACACAUUAAUGAAAGGUCAAUUUUAACUAUUCAUGAAAGGCCAAUUUAAUUAGUUACGAACCAAUAUGUUAUAAUCAGUAGUGCACUAAUGACUAAACGUUAAAAUAUGAACCAAACGGAUGCAAAGUUAGUGAUGUGUAUAUGUAACUCCUCCUCCACGUCUCACGUAUAUACUGUUCGAAGCAGAAAGUGUGAUACAUAUUCAUCAAUGAAGUUGGGCAGCUUUCAAUUGAUUUCAUUACAUUGAUACCUCCAAUGGUGAUAUUGUUAUGUUUAGAUAUUAUAUUGAUAGUGAUGCCGUGCCAUCCAUGUGCUCCGAUAUUCUUGAGGUACGGAUAUUCUUUCCGUGGUUGUUCUUUUGAAAAACAUUCAUUUUUUCAAAUAAUUAUUCGAUAACGGAUGAUAUUUGCAACCGGUGGAAAAUCGGUAUAAGUUAACCGACCUUUUCGGUACAAUUUGGAUCCGAUUACUCAUUUUAGCAGUUGCCCUCCACUUCAAGUAAUNNNNNNNNNNNNNNNNNNNNNNNNNNNNNNNNNNNNNNNNNNNNNNNNNNNNNNNNNNNNNNNNNNNNNNNNNNNNNNNNNNNNNNNNNNNNNNNNNNNNNNNNNNNNNNNNNNNNNNNNNNNNNNNNNNNNNNNNNNNNNNNNNNNNNNNNNNNNNNNNNNNNNNNNNNNNNNNNNNNNNNNNNNNNNNNNNNNNNNNNNNNNNNNNNNNNNNNUUGAAGAGGUUAUCAGUCACUUUAGAGGAGAGGAACAUGACGAGUAAUUUAUAUUUUUAAUAUCCAAUUUGAUUGCCAUCUUAUGUGAGCUACCUACUAAUUUGGCGCGGAAUUGCAAAAAUAAAGUUGGUUUGGAACGAUAUGGCUACUGCCACGUGUGUGGGUAAUAGUAACUCAGUUAGCCAAAAAAAGCAAACUAACAUAAAUAUUGGAUGAAAUUUGAUUAUUGGGAUUAACAUGUUACAUUAAGAUCUAAAAAGGACUGCAAUAUUACAUAUAUUAUUGUUGUGUACAUAACUCAAACAUAAAAGACCAUUUCGAUCAAUUAAUAAUAUACGAUGCCAUUUAUGUACCAUCAAUAUGAUCAUUUUUAAAGUUGAUAUAAAGAAUGAGAAUUCAACCAAAAAUGUCCAUGUCUACAUAUGCACUAUCACUUCUCAUCCUCGAUGCACUCAAACUAUAACUAUGGUCGGCAUGGCUUCUAUAUUCCAAGUCAACAUAUGACAAUUGAAAACUCUAACACGUAAACAAAUUAAAAAUGUAGAUAUGCAAAAGCGUGAUUGCCUUUAUUGUUGAAUCACAUACACAGUUAUAUAAAGUUUGUAUUGUUAAUUGUGUCGGAUAAUGAACGGUUGGUCUGUCGCUCCGAGUCACAUCUAAAAUGUUUGAGGUCCUAAUUUCUCUCAAUGUGUCAAAGAAGGACGCCCGUGUCAUGUCUACUAAGUCUUUUUAGUAGUUUUUGCUUGUUUUGUCUAUUUACUUCAGACUAUUUUCGUAAUGUCUUUUGGUUACGUAUGCUCGUUGAUUGAUCCAAUGUUGGAGUAACAAUCAUGCAUUUGACAUUUUUCUAAAAACCCAUCUUUUCCAUGGCACGCACAAACAAUAAUUCGAACCGUUUAUGGUUUUAAUAAUGAUGGAAAAGACGAGGCUAGCAAUCACAAACAUUCUCCUCCAACAGUCUAGGAGAUGUUGAACACAAUAGUUUCCAAAUAACACUGAUUUCUGGAAACCAUAAUUGGACAGACAGUUACAGGAUCCGGUAACUCAUGCAACACCAAAAGGUUAAUGUGGCAAAUUCUAAGCGAUUUUCAAACAAAGUUUUUGAAAUUUCUGAUGAGGAACAUUCAUUGAUGGAGCCGACAACAAGGAAUUGAAAGCAAUAGCUAUUGAAUAAUGGGAGGCAGAGGAAAUGGGAAGUGAGCAAAGGGAAAUUGCAGCUAAGAUCCGAAUUCCCAACCAUAUUACCCUCACUCAUUUAUGGCAAUAUUGCCAGUUGAAAUAUUUGCCAUCACUCACACACACACACACACUCCCAGCUGUGCCUUUUCCACCGGUAAACCAUAGACAAGGAAAUUAACACGUCUUCCAACUCAAACUUCCCAACUGCCUUCUCCUCCCCCUCUUCACACAGUCGUCAUACUCCGUAUGUACCAGUUCAACUUGCAACUCAACCGUGUAUAUCCCAUAGCUAUGAAUCCAGAUCGUCGGAGACUCUGGAAAAAAAUUCUAAGUUUCGAGUGGAUUUAAAAGCAUAGUGGGUAAAAUUUCAAAUUUUGAAAAUUUUGUAGAAUGUAGUGACUUUAGAAUUGAGGGACCUCAAUUCCACCAUUGUGUGUAUCAAUGAUCAAUUCUCGAAGAAAAAUAAAAAAUAUCCAUAUAUAAUGAUAAAUUAAAUUAUUUUUAAAGGGUCUGUACAUAAAAAUUGUUCUAUUUCUAUUAAAGAUGUGCACUCAUGUACCCUAGGGAACGAUACUCUUUGUGCAGCUGCCACCUAGGCAUCAGUGUACCAAUUUAACUGGACUUUUGAAAAUUUCUAAGUUUAAAAUAGGUUUGAAAGCAUANNNNNNNNNNNNNNNNNNNNNNNNNNNNNNNNNNNNNNNNNNNNNNNNNNNNNNNNNNNNNNNNNNNNNNNNNNNNNNNNNNNNNNNNNNNNNNNNNNNNNNNNNNNGAUAAAUUAAAACACUUUCAAAAUUUUACAAAAAUUGUUCUAUUUUUGUUAGAGGGGUGUGCUCCUAUAUCUCUAGGAUAUAGUACUCCUUAUGUGGUUGCCUCGUAGGUAUUAUGUUGUUGAUGCCAACAACUAUGUAGGGAGUAUUUGUACUUCUAUAAUACCAGACAUUCUGAUAUCCCUAAAAUAUGAAUAUACCUAUAUGGUUUUUACUAAGGGGCUAACGAGAUUUUACAUUGUUGUUGUCCUUACGUGAAUAACUCCCUUCUAUCAUUAUAAGGUGAUAAUUUUCCUCAUGAUAAAAAAGAUAAUGCUACAAAAAAUGUACUAUGAGACGGGUGUGGUUUAUUGAUAGGAGGGGGUGGUAGCAAUGACAUUAACUCUGGACUUGCCAAAUCUGUAUUGGACUUGUAUUCUUGUAGAGCUAUAUAAGUAGGUAGUAGAUUGAAUAUCAAUAGCCUCUCACAACUCCCACAAUUUCCUCAACUUGGUUUUCUUUCUACUCACCACUCCGACUUCUCUCUAUCUCUUACUCCAGACUUCUGUUGUUCAGUGGGGAAAAGGGAACAGAGUUCGCAAAUUUAAGGUUGCUUUAGCAUUUCGUUCUGUUUUUUGGGGGCUCUCUCUGAGUAAAAACAGAGCAACUAUAGUAUGGCUGCUGCUGCUUUGUCUGCCUGGCCAUGGGAGAACCUUGGAGUGUACAAGGUAACAAAAAGCUCCAAACUUUUUAGUUCAUUCUUUGACAAAAUUUGAUUUGCUCAUGUGGGUUUUUCGUUGUUGUUGCCUGUUGUCGUUUUGUCCAUGUGAAGUAUUUGCUGUAUGGACCUGUGCUGGGGAAAGUAGUCUACUCAAGAUAUCAAGAUGGGUACUUGAAGCUAGAUUGGUGUUUUUACUUGGUAGUCAUUUGGUACCUCAGGAUGUGUGUCCACAUACUGUGGAGCACUUUUGUCAAUAUGCUCUUCUUCACCAAAAGCCUCAGGAUCAACAAACAUGGCUAUGAUUUCAACCAGAUUGAUAAAGAAUGGGAUUGGUAAUUUUACUGAAACGUUACUGCAAUUUGAAUAACUAUAGUUUGUUGGAGCACUACUUAUUGUGCUAUUUGAUUAAUUGCAGGGACAAUUUCCUGAUCCUGCAAUCAAUGAUUGCAUCAGUGACAUGUUUAAUGUUUCCAUCGUUGUUGGAACUUCCUGUAUGGAACACAAAAGGAGUGGUCUGCAUUUUGGUUCUACAUGUAUUAAUCUCAGAGCCACUUUACUACUGGGUUCAUAGAUGCUUCCACAAAACCUCCUUGUUCACCAAUUACCAUUCAAUUCACCACUCAUCUGCAGUUCUCCAUCCUUACACAGGUAACUAAUUUCAAAUAGUUCAUCUCCAAACUCUAUACUACACUCAGAUCAUAAUUGAGUUUGUUUGAUCUGAUCGAAUUUCGUUUUUUUUCGACAGGAUCACAUUUGUCAUUUCUGGAGCAUCUGGUGCAAGCCAUAAUCAUUGGGAUCCCAAUAUUUGGAUCUGCAAUUCUUGGAUAUGGAUCAUUGGUUCCAAUGGUUGGCUACGUUUUGGUGUUUGAUUUCCUGAGGUGUAUGGUCCAUUCCAACACUGAAGUUAUUCCUCACCAGCUCUUCCAGACUCUCCCAUUCCUCAAAUACCUCAUUUCAACACCAACGUAAGUAAAAAAAGUUUAUUAAUUUGUUUUUGUUGCUAGCUACUACAAUUCCUUUCUUUACUAUUGCCCUCCCUAUGAAAUCACAAUUUUGUGACAUAAAAUCUCAGAAAAAAAAUCUGUAAGAAAGAAAGAAAACCAGGCACUACUAGUUUGAGUUGUCUAUAUAGAAUUGUUAAUAAGAUGAUAGGAGUGAGACCUGUCAAAUCAAGACUGGACAUGGCCCCAUUUCUGGCUAAAAAUAUGCCAUCUACCACCUUGCUGUAGUUAUGCUGCCACUGUUUUUAAUGCUUCCAUGCGCUCACACCUCUGUAAAAUUACUGAUCCUCGCCAAAUAGGUUGUAAUCGAGCAGUUGUAGUAUUUUAUUUUGUUCCCAAAAAUUCUGGGUUCGAAGUUCAAGAUAUGUAAUCAUUUCAGCACUCAUGUGAUGGUAUCACCAAUUUCACUUGAGCUGAUACCAAUAACUCUAAAGUUUAUCUGACUGCGUAACAUCACUCAAUGUGAUACCCGUCAAAUGGGAUUUUCAUAUAAAAAAGUUCCAACUCAGUUUCCUGAAUUUAUGUAUCUACAGUAAAAUUGACCGAAGUUCUGUCUUUUUUUUUUGUUCUUACAGGUAUAAUAGCCUGCAUCAUGCUGAAAUGGGAACCAAUUUCUGCCUGUUUAUGCCAAUCUUUGAUGCAAUUUGGAAGACCCUUAACACCAAUUCAUGGGAGCUUCACAAGAAGCAGCGUGCAAAAGCAGGUAAAUAACUCAUUGUUGGAUUGCCACCCACCAAUCUUUCCGACUAGUAAACUCACAAAUAAAUCUGUGCGAGUAGCCCACCAACCUCUCCAACUAUUAUGAUAUUAUCCGCUAUGUGAAGCCUCAUACUAAUCGAAAAAGUUGGUGGCAUUCGGCAACUUUGAUUUUUGUUAUAUUACCAGAGGGAUGGUUCAAAUAAAUGCACCCUUUCCCAGACUUUAGUAUCUGGUACAACUAUUUUUAGGCCACUUGAUUCUGCCCCUUUUUCCCUACUUUCCGUAGGGACCAUUAUCAAAAAGAUCAUUAAUUUUUUUCAAUUGAUCAUGGAUUACAAUCGGAACCAACUCCUCACAACCAAUCCAACAACAAAAUUGUAACUGGCUUUUGUUUGGUGAUCUCAGGGAAGUAUGGGAGAGUAGCUGACUUCGUGUUCUUGGCACACGUUGUCGAUGUAUCUUCUUCGAUGCAUUCGCCCUACGUCUUCCGGACAGUUUCUUCGUUGCCGUACAAGUUCCAAGCAUUCUUGAUCCCUUACUGGCCAACAACUUUCAUGGUGAUGCUAAUGAUGUGGGCUAAAGCCAGGGUAUUCAUCCAAUCCUUCUACACCCUCAGGGGCAAGCUUCAUGAGACUUGGGUUGUCCCUAGGUUUGGUUUCCAGGUAACACCAUGGUUCCAAACUUUACCUUCAUCGUUAUACUUGAAACAAAACACCUGUAACUAAUUAUAACAUGUUAUAAUUCUGCAGUACUUCUUGCCAUUUGCCAAGGAAGGAAUCAAUAAAAGAAUUGAUGAGGCGAUUAUCAAAGCUGAUAGACUUGGAGUUAAGGUCCUGAGUCUUGCUGCACUCAACAAGGUUAGCCAUUUAUUUAUUGUACCAAAAGAAAAAUCUGAGUUGGAUAGAUCUAUGGGCUCAUUUAUGGUCAGCUUAGUUGGAAGGAAGGCAUUAAUGGUUCAUAUCACCAAUGUCAUCUUCUACUAUUGAAUACUGCAACAUUGGAAUGGGGGUCCAUAAACUUUUCUGGAUAUUUAUUAUCCCAUAUUCUGGAUUAAAUUUUCAGUUAUUAUUAGUCUAAUGUAAAUGGACAUGUAACUGAUUAUUGCAGAAUGAAGCUCUGAAUGGAGGUGGAACAUUGUUUGUAAACAAGCAUCCUGAUCUUCGAGUCCGAAUCGUCCAUGGCAACACGUUGACUGCAGCAGUGAUUCUUAAUGAGAUUGGAGAUGACAUUGAAGAAGUUUUCCUAACAGGAGCUACUUCCAAGCUUGGAAGAGCCAUUGCUCUUUACCUUUGUCGACGCAGAGUUCGAGUUCUCGUAAGUAUUCCUUCCUUGAAACCCUGUUCGUCUAACUAGGAUCGAUGAUCGGUACACUAAUUAGUAACGCGGUAUCCAGAUGCUGACGCUAUCUACCGAGAGAUUUCAGAAGAUUCAGAAAGAAGCACCAGUGGAAUGCCAGAGUUACUUGGUGCAAGUUACCAAGUAUCAGGCUGCUAGAAAUUGCAAGGUGAGAUCAGUCAAGUCUCAUAAUGAAUUUUUAGGUCACCAUUGUUUGAUUUUAUGAUUCUUACCCUUUUUGUAAUUGGGCUGGUAAUAGACUUGGAUAGUUGGGAAGUGGAUCACACCAAGAGAGCAAAAUUGGGCCCCUUCAGGAGCCCACUUCCAUCAGUUUGUUGUCCCGCCAAUUUUCGCAUUCAGGAAGGAUUGCACCUAUGGGGACCUUGCUGCAAUGAGAUUGCCUAAUGAUGUUGAAGGUCUUGGAUGUUGUGAGGUAAGAGACCCUUUAGUAAUCACCAUCACUAUCUUAAUAAACUCUCAGCUUUGAUUCAUAACUUGUUAUACACUUUCGACAUGAUUCAGUACACGAUGGACCGCGGAGUGGUGCACGCAUGCCACGCGGGAGGGGUGGUGCACUUCCUAGAAGGGUGGAAGCACCACGAAGUCGGAGCCAUAGAUGUCGACAGGAUUGAUCUUGUGUGGAAUGCUGCAAUGAAACAUGGAUUGAAGCCUGUCUCCAACAUGAACAAAUCGAAACAAACAUAGGAUUAUUAAUUAUUUGGUGUGUUGGCAGCAACGAUGUAUUAUUGGUUUUAAUUUUUAGUGUAUUAUAGUAGUUUGUAUUCGCUAAUGAUGUGCAUCUUUUCAUCAAUGGCCUGAUAAAUGUAAGGAUCGACAUUAAAGCAUAAAAUGUUGUUUCUACAAAGAUGAAUGAAAGGAAUGAGUAAACAAAACGUCUUCUAUCUAGUUAGUUUCUUUGCAAAUAUUGUUUGGGGAAUUUCAAUACGAGUGAUGUUGUGUGAUCUCGUCUAAUUGUUAGAGCAUUUAAACGAGAUUAUAAACUUCAACUUAACAAUCAGCCUACGCAUAUAUCGUGUUCCUGACCUGCCCCAAUCCCUUGUCCAAACUCAAUCCAUUAAUAUUUUCAAUGAAUGAAGUCUCCUUUGAUAUUAAUAAACCACAAAUACAGAAUCUAAACAUGUUUGGGGGGUUGGUUUAAUUAUGAUGGUCCAUACCACAUCAUGCAAAUGAGCACGCUUCUUAAUUAACCAAAAUAAAGUCAUCAAAAAGUAAAGAUUAAUCAACCCUGUAAUAUAAUCAUCUCCCAAAAGAAAAAAGGAGGACGACACACUUCAAUACCAUCUUUCCAAAAGAGAUUGUAAUUAAUCAAAAGGAUGGCCAGGAAAUGUAUCACAUUUUGUUAUAACUAAAGCUUCCUAAUGUGUCUAAUUCUAAUCGAGAUGUAGUUCAAGUGGAAUAUUUUAUAAUGGAUAUUUAUAUAAUAUUUAAUUGUUUUUAUCUAUUCAGUGAAUUUAUCGCUCUUUGUGUAUCAUCUGAUUCUCCAAUAACAAUCAUUGUGUCUUUUUGGGUUCUCCCUCACGGGCUUGUCUCACUCAACAUGGCCCAAUUACAUGCUUGUUGGCUCUUUAAGAGAUCCGCUUGGCCCUUUCUUUGGAAGUUUGAUAAGUGGAUAUUGAGAAGUUACAAAUUUAGUUAUGUUUAAAAAAUUUUGAUUGAACCAAUGCUCUAAUCCAUCCUAACUUUUAAAAAA